CGCUCUUCCGUAUUUGAUGCUGGGAUGUGAUGGAAGAAUCAUUGGUCCGUGUUUCUGAUCAAUCAUUGAUGUGUAAAACACUCCAUAAUUCUGAUCCCUGACAGUUGCGUAAUCUGACUGUUGUCCGUUUAAUGUCUGCUACUGUAGUUUCACAUGAUACUGUCUGUAGAAUCUAAGCAUUUGCUAUGAAAGUGGGUGAACUGAUUCUUGUUUCAUUUGAUUGCAGUGGAAGAAGAAGAGGAUGCGGAGGCUCAAGAGGAAGCGCCGGAAAAUGAGGCAGAGAUCUAAGUAGGCGCAUCUUGUGACCGAGGAUGGCGAGCUUCUCCUGCACCAUGGCUGUGACGCGUUGGGAUGAUUGUCUCCCUUUGUAGACGUGCUUUGCUGUAGACGUAGGCGAUGUAAACCGUCCUUUUUGAUUAAUUCUAGUAUGUUCUGAGACUGGGUUUAUAUUGUAAUUUGAGGAUAAUUAUAUGAUGCUCUAAGUUUAUUGAUAUUCCUGUCACUCGAAUAUGUUAGAUGUCCUUUCUUCAGCGUUGGUCAGUUCUGCUCUCCCCAUCUUUUGGUUCCUACUGUUCUCUUGGCUUUGUUUCCUGCUCAUCUAUGCUCUCCUGUCAGGUUCUCUAUGCGCCCUGCCAUUUUGAAAUUCAAAUUCAGUUCUGUUCUUUAGGUGAUUGAAUUUGAGAAAUUUACACUCGUAGUUUUGGUUGGCUGCAUUACUUGGAGAAGAUGUGGCGUGUCCACAUGUGGUGAAGUGAGUGGAUGAGGUGGAUCACGUGCGGGCUGGCGUGGCGUGGCGUUGCAGCAAUGCAGCUGCACCACUGCCUUAUCCGCUGGGGCCCCUCCCCUACCCAUGUCUUUGGUCCUAGCAGCCCCCUGCAGGGAAGCAUUUCAACUGAACUCAUCAAUUCCUUCAUCAUCCAUGGAGGCCAUGCCCAGGCCAAGUGUAGCUCCCUCGUUGCAGUUGCAGGCCCGUCCGUGCCCGAGGUGGCCGCGCCGGAAGCACUGCCCACCGUCCUCCGUGGCAAGCCGGAGGGUUGCUUGCUCGGCCUCGGCGGCCGACGCCGACGUGGUCGACCUCUUCGACGCCGCUAAGCUAACUGUAAGUGACACCUGACCUCGUUCGUAUGUAGCCCGUCUCCCUCUCUCUCUGUGUGUUUGUGAUUCCUAACGAGUUUUUGGUCACUUACCGCCUCCCUCCAGGUGGACAAGUUCGUGACGAGCGGCAUGGUGGUGGGGCUCGGCUCCGGCCCUGCGUCCGCCCUGGCCAUCCAGUACCUCGGCACGCGCCUCCGGCGGGGCUCUCUCGCGGGCAUCACCGCAGUGACCUCGUGAGUCCUGCUUGCUAUCUCUUCUCUUGUCUUCUCCGUGUCAUUGCUCACCUGGCAGGCAAUCAGUGACUGGCAUCUGUUCUAACCAGCUAGCUUCCUGGGAUUGACCAGCCAGGUCCGUGCUCAGUGCGAGCGAGGCAGACAAGGCAGGGAUACGGGCUAACAGCUACCAGGAAGGCACCCAGGUUAGCAAUAUGCAUGCGCGGCGGUGCUGCUGACACCUUCUUACUUGAAUGAACGGCCUCUGAAACCGAGCUCGCUGACCUAUAUAUAGAUUGAUUUUGCUUUCACUGAUGCUGAAGCGAUCGAGGAGGGCACGCUGGCCGCAGUCAUCGGGCGGCGGAAGACCGAGAGCGGAGAGCCCUCUUUCAUGGCGGAGAAGGUAAGCAGACAUUGAUUGAAGACACGGCACGAACGAGCACAUGAGUAAACGCUCUCUCUUAGCCAGCAACCAUGGCGUCUGUCUGUACAGGCGAUGGCUAAAUCAGCUCACAAGCUUGCCUUCAUCACUGGAAACGACAAGUACGUGACGACGGGCGUCGAGGGUUCUAUUCCGGUCCUGAUUAAAAGUGUAAGCAGCCAUGCGUUGCUUCAGCGCGUAUACGUAUCGUUUCCUUUCCAUGCAAAUAAAUAUUCAGAGGAGCAGGCCAUUUUCAGGGGAACUGGAUAGACACUGCUGAAGAGAUCGACGAUUUGUUUCUAGGAGACGCAGAGGUGCGUGUGUGUGCCUGUUGGAAUUUCAGUCACAACUUGAGAAGCUGCUGGGCUGUGCUGAUCACAUCACGAUUUUCUUAAUGGUGAUAUGAUGAAUGAAGGUUUGGAGGAGGCCGUCGUUUGGAACUGCUGGUCCACUUGGGGGUGACCACCCACUGGUUACCAAGGAGGGCCAUCACGUGCUCGAUGUUAUCUUCACAACACCAAUCCAAGAUCUUGGUACGCCGUAUGUGGAUGGAUGGUUGGAAGAUCUUCCAUCCCUUCCUCAACAACUGGGGAUCUUCAAUCCAGCGUAGCAACCAUGACGACAUCUUCGACUCCAGUCACCUUGAUCGCUGUCUUGUCUUUUUCUUUUACAGGUCAGGUUGCAGAGAAGUUGGACAAAGUUGAUGGCGUUGUGGAUCACGGGAUUAUUUGCAGCAACCAGUAAAUCUCUAACCGCACACACACACAACCUCUAGAAAAUUUUCGGUUGUCUUCACACUGCAAUCUGCUGCCCCUGCAGACCAUACGCUGUCAUUGCAUCCAAGGGGGAAGUGCAGGUCCUGGACGAGAAAUCUUCGGUGAUACAGUAGCGGUGAAACCUUUUUGGCUGCUCUGCAGAUUGUUGCGCUUUUCGGAACAGGAGUCUACUACCAGCUAGCUGGAAAAAAAAUGCCAUGAGUUAAUCAUGUACAACCAGAGCUCUUGUUCACCACUGGACAAUUCAGCCGGCAUCAGUUGAAGUCUGUGUUUCGCAUAAACUUUUUUGAACUGGUACUCAGUUAACCAGAUUCGAUGAAUGUGAGGCAGAGCUACAGCUUCAACUACUCUUCUAGUGUUUCAGGAGUUCGUCUCUUUUCAUAUGAUUGGUUGCCCGCGGCAUCUCAUCUCCUAUAUGUUUGGUUGCUUGUGUUUGGCGGGUGAUUAAAUUAGCACAUGCCUUCAUAACGUUUAUUAGUGUUUGGAAAGAUAAAAGUAACCGCGCAUAGGCGCUGGAAUAUAUGGAUUAGAUAUGGGCCGUCGGAUGAAAGAUCGAGGUUGCCUCGAGAGCCAAUGAACCGUUAGCCGUUGCAUAGGAAUUUUGUAGGAUUUGUAAGCUGUAGCCUUAGCAAAAUUUACUGCAUGUCCAUUUCGAACAAUGAAUUAAACCCUAUGAAAUUACUUUGGAUUACUAUAGCAUGUGUGGAACCGUAGAAUUUUUGGAGGAAAACUAGUAUGAAGUUAGACCUCUUGAAGAUUUUUUUGGAACGUAAUAGCAUUAGUUGUGCCUCUAAAUUAAGAAAAAUAGGGUCCAAAAACUACACAAGGUGCAUAAACAAUACAGACAACAACAAUCCCACACACCAUCCUAAAUCAUCAUUGUCGAGCUCAAAAUAAGAGACGAGCAGCUCCGACUCCCUUAGACGAUGACUACAAACUCGACGAUGACUACAAACACCAGCACAAAACGAGAAAGACAACGGUGCACCGUUGUUGCCAAGCAUCAAGACACCUCCGAUUUUUUACCAACGAGACUUCCAAAUCCUGAUCCUCCGCCCUGCCCUCGACAUUUGCCAAACCUUCGAAGCAAACCAGUCCACGAAGAAGAGGGUUCACCCCACGUCAUCGUUGUCGAGCCACAUCCUCUGACGUAGCAGUUUUGACUUCACGAUGCAACCUCCACCUCCACACGCAAACUGGUCACCAAAAAACGAAAACAACCACCGAAAGGCGACGACGUGAUCGAGACGAACUGCAAUAGUGACGCCUUCAGGAAGAAAGUGACGUCGGGGACAUCACCAUCGUCUGUCUGAAUUGAACCGAGGUUUCGCCCACAGAAAACAGUGCUGGGAAUACGACGCCUUCAAUAGGGAAGCGGAGCCCACAGACAUCGUCGUCACCGAGGCUUUUGCCCAAGAAAUCCACCAACACAACGUCUAGGGUGCGUGCACAUUCUUGGGCGUUGAGCGCAUUCACAAGACCCGCGAUAGUUGGACACGACGACGGGCGACGGCUUCGAGCGUGCUCAGCGUUGAGCACGGUGGCUUAGGGUUUGCCUAGGUCCACCUUGUCACCUCUUGUUGAGCUUGUUGAAGGUAUUUAUGUUUUUUAUUGAGGGCGAUAUGCUCCUCUGCCCUUCAAUAGCAGCUUACAGCAAAUAAGUUUUCUGAUUCUGCAAGGGGGAAAUAUAGUUGACCUCUUUGCGCAUAGUGAAUAGGAAUCGGAUAAUGAUAUAAUUUUGCUCCCAUACCAGUUACCACAGAUCGAAGUAGGUACCCUUCCUUUUGUAGUACAUGAACAUUGGACUGGUGUAUGUUUCGAAUAGUAUCAUAUAUCAGAAUAAAUUACUCAUUUCGAUCGAUAUUCUGGAACAGAAGAAUCAGUUAAUAAAUCACUCUGAACAAAAGUAACAGGGGCUCCGUAAUUUAUGGUCAUGAUGUCCCUCCUUAGUGUUGGUCACGUACUAGUGUGAGUGGCAAGCUAGUGCGGUGUUUGCCCCCUUAGCUAUUUUGAAUAGCAAGAGAAUUUGUCCUCAUAAAUCCCAUCCAUUUUCCUGGUCACCAAAUCAUCCCUCAGGGUUAUAUGAGUCAUCUAGACUUCUCUUCUUGACAUAAUGAUGGACAACUCUUAUGUGUGUUCAGAAAAGAAAAAAAACAAAACUAACAGGGUGGGCAAAUCUUUUUAUAACAGCUAGAAGAUGAUAUUCCGUGCACUAGGAUGGAUGGAUAAAAAAAAGAAAUUGCAGCCUAAUUCCUCAUACCACACCCAAAUCGGGCAUGCGAAGAAAUGCCAACAAAUACUAUAUUAAGCAAGAAUGAAACCCUAAAAAGAGUCGAGCAUGAUGGAGGGAUGUAGCCUUGAGGGCUGCUCAGCUCAUGAUGUUUUCUUAAUUUCUUCACUCACACGAAUUGGGGAUCUGUAUAGGUUACUCAAGAACGACGGCCGUCUCGACACCAUAGCCGACUUGUGGAUAGCCAUGGAGGCCGCGACUGACGGGAACUGAUUUGAUUGCAUGGAGCAACAGAAACCGUUGCCUCGCCGGUUGAGCAUUAGCGUCGAGCCGUCCUUGGCGACGAGGGAGCACAUUCCUGCGCAGCCACAAGAUCUUAAUUUUGUUCGGUAUAACAGUUUUGUGUACAAUAUUAUUCGACAUCUAGAGUGUGUGCGCGUGUGUAUGUGGAGCAUUUUCAUUUCGGUGUGGUGGAUUUACAUACCAAUGCCUCAUCUAACACAGUACUACAGAUUCAAUACUAAUAUCCAUGCUUACCUUUGUUUCAAUGUUACAAGCUCAAUCGUGUAACUUUGCAUAUGAAGCAGCAACACCAUAAUUGCAGCCUCACAGGAAAACUUAUGAAUAUGUCAUGCUCCCUAUAGACGCCAAUAUCUUUACACAGAUUUUUCUUUUGGUCUUCCGUGUGUUUCUCAUGCUUGAGAAAUAGGCAUAUCCCUACAGGACAGUAUACAUGUUGCUUCAUCAGAUAACAUAAAAGAGUUGGGGAAUAUAGUGUGGUAGAAAAUGAAGUGACCCAGAAGUUCAAGACAGAAAUGCAGGGACAGCUUACACAGAAAGCUAUUGUCACCGGACUAAAUACGGACCCUUGGCUAGGCCCAAAGAACGGCCCUGGGCGCGCGCACAACAAGUGGGUGAACGACGGCCCUAGGGGAGCCAUCAGCCUCCUCCCUGUAGCAGUCCGGAGUAGGUAAGAAUUAUAAUUAAAAGAAAAUAGAGUUUGUUUAGGAAAGAAGAAUCCAAAUCUAUAGGAACACUACCUACAGGUUGCAUGGAGGAUAAGUCCAGAUUGCUUAGAGGUCAAGUCCUCUUGAAACCAUAAAUAUAGGGGUCAUGUAACCAUUUGAAUCUUAAACAUAAAUAGAGUAUGGCAAUUCCCUAAUCCCUUUCCCUCUUCUCAGCCUCGGUCUUCUUCGCUCACUCUGCACCGCCACCCCUCUCCAUGUGUCUUUACGCAGCCUGAGAAUGGUCAGGUUCAGACACCAUAUAUAUUAGCAUAAAAAAGAAGGCCUGGAAUGCCUUUAUCCAGCCUGAGAGUAUGAAUAAUUUAAUACAUGAAGUGCCAAACAAGUUACACUCACCACCUUUUUCUCAUGCAAAUGUCAAACUGCAUACACAAUUGCACAUACUGCUUUUCAACAAGCAGUGGUCUGUAUAACAAUGUGUUCUUCCUUGAAUUUCCAUCAGAAGGGCAUAUCAGUGCCACUAGGACAAAUCAUAUUGCCAGAACCUUCAACAAGAUAAUGAUACAAGGAUUAAAAUUAAUGUCACAAUGGAGAAAAUCAGACAACAGCUAUGGUUAUACAUAGAUAUGUCUUACAAAUAUAUCUAACCUAAAGAGUAGCAUUCUAGAGUCUGGACAACACAGAAAGAUAUGGCAGGAGCUCUUCCUUUUAAUUAGGAUAAGGAAAAGCAUAACAAAGUAGAAUAAUUAAAAUGGCUUUGUUGUUCCACGACAGAAAACACAUACUACAAGUGGAGACACAUCAAAUCUACCAACACUCCCAUUUAGCUAGUUUUUAUACUACUUGAAGGGAAAACAAAAGAUGCUGCCACUUUGAUCAUUCGCUAUAACAAAUUACUUGAAGGGUAAACAUAUGCUUCCAUUUUUGUAUAUUUAUUAUAACAACUACCUACAGCCAGUGGCUCAAUGGCAUGUAUGAAUCCUAUGUUGAAGUGAAAAUACAUGCUGCAUUUUGUAUAUUUACUAUAACAACUACCUACAGUCAGCGGCUCAAUGGCCUGUAUGAUUCCUAUGUCUAAUUACAUUUAAGUUUGAGCAUGGAUUAGCAGCAAGGCAGGAACAAGAUCUUUUAUUAGUAAAAUAUUAUCACUCUAUUCAAGAAAGUUGCUAUCAUUAGGUUGAAGAAAUAAUUAAGGUGCAUAGAACAUCAAACAAUCUCUUUGUACUUUUUAAAUUCCACCUGUGUGUUGUUAUCUGGGUGCAUGGGGUGACAUAGAUCUGGUCUGGGAACAUAGCCUUCCUCUCUUAGUUCUUGAAGCAGGGUCUUCAAGGACGUGUAGAUAUCUUCAGACUCAGGGUGGCUUUUAUCUGAUGCAACAAAUAAAUGGCUGCUGUUAUUAACAUCUACCCAGCUGUACCCAGGUAUCUUCAGGAUCUUAUUAUCCUUCAUCAAUCUUCUAACUUUUGAUACACCAUCCCAUCGCCCAGCAACUGCAUUGAUAUUGGACAUGAGCACAUAAUAACCAGAAUUAGCAGGGUCCAACUUGAACAGUUCUUGGGAAGCGAUGUCCGCAAGUUCAACAUUGCGAUGCACACGGCAAGCAUGGAGAAGAGCACCCCAAAUGCCAGCAUCUGGCUUGAAAGGCAUAUCAGCAAUAAAUUGUAUAGCCUUAUCUAACUUCCCAGAACGACUGUAUAGGUCGACCAUGCAAGCAAAGUGCUCCAUUCGUGGUGCAAUCAGAUAUUUCUUCGUCAUGCAUUGAAAAAGUUGGACACCUUCUUCAACCAGCCCAGCAUGAGCACAAGCAGAUAUCAAAGCAAGAAAUGUUACAUGAUCUGGCUUAUAUCCUUCCUCCUGCAUACCAUGUAACAAGCUCACUGACUCUUUAACAAGACCAUGAGCCCCAUAGGCUGAAAUUAUACUGUUCCAUGAUACUUCAUUCUUAUCAGGCAUGAAUUCAAAAACACGAAGAGCCAACUCCAAGUUCCCACAUUUCGCAUACAUAUCUAUCAGAGCGCUCUCAGCAAAUAUGUCUGCCUUUAUAGGACCCUUUAUGGUAACACCAUGAAUCUCCUUCCCAUAAUAUAUAGCUGGUAAACUUGCGCAUGCGGAUAGGGCAGCAGAUAUGGUUAUAUUAUUGUACUUUAUUCCUUCCAUACACAUCUGACGGAAAAGAUCUAGAGCUUCUUGUGGUUUUCCAUUCUGUGAAAAGCUUGAAAUCAUCGAGUUCCAUGUCACCUCAUCCUUCUGAGACAUUUUUAAGAAGAUAUAAUGGCUCAGGUCAAGUCUGCCACACUUUGCGUACAUGUCCAUCAGUGCACUCUCCACAUAACAUUUUCUUUCAUAUGCGUUUCUUAGAACAUAACCAUGGAUCUGCUGACCAAGAGGCAAAGCCGCCAUGCUAGCACACCCUGGCAAGACGCUAGCUAUAGUAACAGCAUUUGGUUUGAUGCACUGUUCUAACAAAUAUCGGAACAUUUGCAGUGCCUCUUCACUCAUCCCAUUAAGAACAUAACCUGAUAUCAUCGUACUGCCAAUAACCACAUCGAUAGCCCUAGCCGCAUCAUAUAAAUUCUGUGCCAUCCUCACAUCCCUGCACUUGAAAUAGAUGUCUACCAAAGCACUCACCAAAAAGACAUCCAUGUUCACACAAUUCCUGACAAUAUAACCGUGUACCUCCUUACCCUGCUUGAGACCAUUCAAGUCGGUCAAAGCCGGCAGCAAACUCACUAGCGUAAUCGAAUCUGGUCGAGCGCCACUCCUCUGCAUAUCAUAGAACAAUCCAAAAGCUUCAACGAAAAGGCCAUUUUGAACACAUCCUGAAAUCAUUCCAUUCCAGGUUACCAAGUCAUCCUGUGGCAUCAGUUCAAACAAUCUCCAUGCAUCAUCCAAGCACUGGCACUUGGCAUACAUCGCCAGCAAUGUGUUAGCCACUGCCACCUCCGGCUCUAAACCACAUUUCACCGCCAGAGAGUGAAGUUGCGCCCCAGACAGCAAGUCAGCGUCAGUGGCACACACAGACAGAAAGCACGCCAGAGUCGCGAAAUUGGGCUCACAACCAGAUGCCCUCAUGUUCCGGAAUAAACGCACCGCGCCAUCCACGUCACCUGCCUUUAUGCACCCGUCCAUCAUCACGUUCCACAAAACGCAAUCCCUCUCUGGUAUUCCGUCGAACGCGUCGCGGGCGUUCCCGAGGAGGCCAGCGUCAGCGUACAUCUUGACGAGCGCGCUCCCAACGUAGACAUCGUUGGCGAGCCCGAUCGCCCGCGCUGUGCGGUGGACUAGACGGCCCAGGGACAUCGCUCCGAGCGCGGCACAGGACUUGACGACGUAAGGGAGGGUGUGCGCGUCGGGGCUCGGCGCGGCGGGGUGGGACCACAUCUUGACGUAGAAGAGGACGGCGAGGUGAUGCUGCCCGGCCGCGGUAAACCCGCGGAUGAGCCAGUUCCACGGCAGCGACGAUGCGGCGGCGGCGCGCGGGAGCGCGGAGAACACCGCGACGGCGUCGCGGAACCGGCGCGCGAGGACGUACAUGCCCAGGAGCCGGGUGUGGAGCGCCAGGUGGUUGUGGUCGGAGAGAGCGCCGGACACGACGGCGCGAGCGUGGAUUUGGAGGCCCAGCGGGAGGUGCGGCGCGGAGACGCAGCCGCGCAGGACCGCCAGCAAGCGGUCAGCGGAGGAGACAUCCGUGACGGCCGCCGUAGCGGAGAAGGUGGUAGAGCAGAAUGGCCGCGGCGGCAGCUUGAGGCCUGAGCGAGCGAGGCGCAUGGCGAAUCGGUGACCGACCGCAACGAGGCCGUCGUCGUCGUCAAGAAGAGAAGCCGAGGCGGCCGACUGCCCAAGCGUGGGCGGAGAAAUUUGGUAUUAUGAAACACGACGGAUGCGGUUUCGACGAAAUAGAGGCUUAGGCAAGGGUUUCUCCGUUAUAGAAAUGCUGGGCAUAGCCAACACUUUAAAAUGGAAAUGACAGCUCUAUUAACAGGUAACGACGACCUCAAACUCACGCCGUUAUAUUUCCGUUACCAUAUACGUAGGCCUGCUCUUACCCAGGCGGCGGAGGUAGAUGAGCGCGGGGCGGAGCUGGUCGCGGACGCUGCAGGCCAGCACGCGCGGGCACUUGAUCUCCACGCGCCGGUGCGCCGACUCCGGCACGCCCAGGUCCGCGGAGAGGAAGGCGAACACGGGGCGGAGGUCGGCGCGGACGCUGGCGGUCAGCACGGACGGGCACAUGCCGGGUUCUGCUCCAGCGCGCGCCCAUAGUCCACGCCCAUCAGUCCACGCCCAUAGUCGGCAGCUGUGGCAAGCAGGGGGAGGACGCAAGGAGUCUUACGGCGCAGACGCCAGGACACGUGUGGGAGCUUGCUCGCGCCAUGAACUGGGAGAGCGAGCAGAGGAGAGAACAGACUUCUGGUGACGAACAGACUAUGGGCAGACCAAAAGUUCAUGGUGACGAACAGACACCAGAUUCUUCUAAACAGAAGCAAGAACUGACUUUUCUUGACAAGCAGACCAAAAGUUCUGAGCAAUUGGUAUCUUGUGAUGUAGAAGUACAAGAACCAGUGACUGUUGGAACUGAAAAGCUAUCUGAUAUGAAUUCAAAGAAAGAUCACGAGGUUGGUUCUUCCACCGGAUCUGAGAUGACUGAACAACCCAAGGUUGUUAAAGACAAUGAGAGUCUAGUAGCAUCUGAGUUAUCCCCAGAGACAAAUGAUGGUGAUAAAAAGCAGCUAACAGAGUCUGGCAAUAUAACUGCUGACGAAUCAUCAAAACCAAUCGAUACUAAACCUGCUUCUGUUAAACCAAAGAGGGGCCGACCUCCAGCAGCAAAGUCUCAGGAGAAAAAGCCUGUUGGAAAGAAACAGGCAUCAAACCUAAAAUCUCCAAAACUUGAUCCUGUCACUGAUUCUGUAGGGAGAGCUACCAGGCAACUGAAUAAUGAUGUUGCAAAGUCUUCAUCAACUAAGGCUGUUGAUGGAGAAUCUGGGAAGAAGCAACAUAAAACCAGUAUGAAAUUUCAGAAAGAAGAUGCCGCCUCUGAUAAAGACACCGAUGAUGAUAUUAGUUUGAAGGUACCUUUCUUGUUUAUUAAGCGACGCCUUAAUUCCAUCACUAAAAUCGUUCAUCAUGUUUUGACCUUUUCUGUUUACACUCCCCCCUCUCUAAUGUGGUCUUCCACAAUGACUUGAUUUUUUCAUCAAUUAUCAUAAUUCAGGAAAUGGUGUCCCCAACACGGAUUGAUAAAUCAAAAGGCCAACAAGAAGAUAGAUGGACCCCUGUAUCGAAGGAAACGUCUGCUGGAAGCUCAAGAUGUAUACAUGCUUGACACACAGUGAAUUGUCUUUGACCUUAUUUCUGUUUCAGUUUGUCAGAACCUUUUCUGUUCUGUUGGCAGACCCCUGUAUCGAAGAAAAACAAAAUGCUUGACAAAAACCUUAUUGGCUCAAGAAUUAAAGUUUGGUGGCCAGAUGACAAAAUGUAAGGCUGAUGAUCAACAUAUGUGUUUCUUAUCAGUAAUUGUGUGAACACACCUUAAUUUGGUAAGGCUGAUGAUCAACCUUAAUUUGUCAUCGGGCGCUCGGGAAAAAACAGGGGCUGGGGCGCCAUGGGGAAGAACCUCGGCUGACAGAAAACAGGGCGCCGAGGGAGAUCAGGGAGAAGCUCGGCGCACAGAGCUCCACGGCGAGCUAGAGCAAGAGCAUCGGGGCAAGCCAGGCGCGGCAGGGGAGGAGGAAGAAAGAGCGCACAGGCAGCCGGACUUGGGCAGGGGCGAGCUCCACAGAGAAGAAGCCGAGCGCCAUUGGACAGGAAAACUUCGGCAGGGGAGGACGCUGAACACAGCGCGCGCGCAGACAGAGACCCAGGCGGCGGAGGUAGAUGGAGGAGAAGGGGACCGGGAUAGAGGAGACCGAGAAGGAGAUCUAGCGACGGAGAACGGACGGCGACGAGGCUGGGGACGGAACCAGGUUAAUAAAGUUGUUAACCUGUUAAUAGAGCUGUCAUUUCCAUUUUAAAGUAUUGGCUAUGCCCAGCAUUUCUAUAACGGAGAAACCCUCGCCUAAGCCUCUAUUUCGUCGAAACCGCAUCCGUCGUGUUUCAUAAUACCAAAUUUCUCGCGUGGGCGUGGCUGCUGCGUGCAAUCGUGGUCGGGCACGGGAUGGAUUUUCCCCGCGAGGCUCGUCAAAGAAGACCCAAAAGGGCAAUAAAAUCUUGUGGCCCAUGAAGAAUUACGCAGCCCAAUAGCCCAGUAGACAGGGAACGUUCAAGAGUUCACAGUUCAUCUCAACAAGCCUCUAGUUUUCCAGAUACUCUCACACGCCACAGAGAGGCCGAGGUGGUUCGCUCGCCUAGCUUCGGGGGUCCUGGGACAUUGCCAUGGGUUUUCCAGAUACUCUCACACGCAUUCAGUUCAAAGUUGAUGUCUGUUGAUACCCAAAAAAUCUCUCAAAAAUGUUUGCAGAUACAAAUAUUCUCUCUAAAUUUGACAGCAAAGAGUGUCGUCGUAGUUUGAAGAACUGGUAUACCUGAUGCAUAAUCCUGUUUUGAGUUUACAAGAUUCUGGAGACCGCCACAAACUUUUUGGCGUUUCAGAAAGGUCAUGAGCAGCAACGGUGUCGUGUGAGCCCAGUAUUACCAGCAACGACCCCACGUGCAGGUACAUUGCUGAAGUUCCAACUUAAGGCUUCCCUCCAAAUCCACAUAUAGAUUAGUGUAGAAAAUGAUUAAAUGAACGUGUGUUCCUCCUCGGUAUCAGGGAAGCACAACACAGUGGCAAGAAAGCUAGAGACAAACAUCCAAAAAAAAUCCAACCCUCAAGAAUUAAAGGGGUGUUUAUGAUUGCUCCAUGUUCCAACUUUAGCUUGGGGUUGUAGUUUAUAAUAUAAAUUUAAAUAUAUUUUUAAUCUAAAAUAUAAAUAAAAUGACUUAUCAAGAUAUUUUCUAAAGGUUCUGCAGGUCUAGGAUUUUCUGGAUCACCUAAUAAACCUAAUAACCUGCUAUGCCAGCUCCACCAAAUUAAUUUUUUAAAGUUAGAUCAGUCCCAAAUAGAACCUAAGCAGAACAUCAAAGCAAGUCCUCCAUGUUAUGUAGCUUCCUCUCCUUGACAAAAUCUUAAAGCCACUUUCACUUGGCGUGUCUAUUGUCUAAUAAUCCUCCAGACGUCCACGUUCAGCUCCUUCAACAAAGUCCGCCACUUCUGCAAGACAGGACAAUUUCGUACAGAACUUUAUCAUAAGUUGUCCACAUCACCUAGACUACAAUUGCAAAGAUAAAGAUUUUGAAAUCAUAUAACCGCGACCCUGUAGGUAAUCAAGUUUCAUAAAACCUUUUAGUACAACAAGGAGGCAUCUACGAUCAAACUAGGAAACAUAUUAUGAGCUCAUGGAGCCUCCGGGCUCAUAUGACCACUUUAAAUGUUCUGUAUCCGUGAGCAAUCCAAUUUCACUUACCUCCUAUGCCAUCAGAGCUGAGGCGGGAGGGGAUAAGUGAAACAUUGUCGGCCUCGUUGGAUUGAUCAUGAUAUACCGGAUUUAAAGUACUCAUGUGAGCACGAAGGCUCAGUGAGCACAGCAUAUAUUCCUAUCAAACUAUUACUGUGCUACUGAUCAUCAUACUUUGAGCUAUUCCUGUAAUGAUAAUCAAAAGAAAGUGAGAAAAGAAAACACAAAAAGAUCAGUAUUCUGAAUCAUAAAGAAUCCAGAGAAUUACAUAGUCAUAAUCACAGGGCAGUGCUUGGAAUGAGCUCCAGCUCCAGCUGCUCUGGAUUGAUAAUCUGGGAGCAGAAGCCCUUCCAAACACUGCCCUAACUUUCCAUCCUAAUCAAAAUAACCCAUCAAAGCAAAACCCAACACUAUGCCUGAAAUAUCAUCACUCUGUGCAUUUAAAUUAGAUUGUUGUGUCAUGCUGUAACAACCAUUUGCAUUAGAUAGUGUGUGUUAGCAGCUUGAAACCAACAAACCAUAAGAUAGUGUAGAGAAUCAGUGUACUUCUGUACUUUGAAUUUUAUCACUGCGGGAAAAUUUAUUUUGCUUCUGAAAACCUGUUCUUAGCUCAGACAAUGGUAGUGCAAAACAAAUAUUGACAGCAUGACAUUUCAGAUUCUUUGCAGUUGAUAGUGCCCUCAAACUUGCCACAGAGAAUCUGAUAACAUUUCAACCAUGAAACCAUGCGAAGGAACCAAUCUUACUGUGUCUUUCUACGCCAACCCAUGUAGCAACAGAAAGAAGAUGAAGAAAUCACCAUUUCACUUGUUAAAUCCCUGAAGCGCAUUGGCGACUCUCGACCUCAGCCGGUCAAGCUUUCCGCUCGCCCUGGUCUCCGCCAUCCGCUGCCUCUUCAGCUUCGCCUCCAGCCGCGCCGCCGUGUCGUCACCGAUGCGCCCGAAUGCCCUCUUCAGCGCCCCGUAGCCGCACCUCGCACCAAUCGCCUCCACCUCCGCGGAGAGGCAAGGGUACAGCUCGGCCAGAUCGUCGAACCCUCUUGGGUCAUUGCGCGCGUCGGGCACACGGGUCUUCUUCUCUAUCCUCCCCCUGCGCGUGCCCUCCCAGAUGAGCUUGGAGAGCCUGUAGAUGGUGACGUCGCUGUCCUUCGCCGGGAUCGUGCCGCGUUUGAGGCGGAUAACGGUGUUGUCGUACCGGUUGCGGAGCGCGCACAGCCGCCUGGUGAUCUGCGCGGCGCUGAGGCGGUCCCCCACGCUGAGGCGGCCCCGCACCGCGGCGGCGAGGUCGUCUGCCAGGGGAAGUCGCCCGUGCUUCUGCCGGUGCGACGCGACGGUCUCGAGGAUCGCGAUCUCGUCGGAGGCCGGCCACGAGCGCACGGGUGGGCGGGGUUUCUUGAAAAUGAUGGGCUCGGACUCUGAAGAGCCGUCUGAGAGCAGCGAGGAGGCGGCGGAGUCGUCGGAUUCAGGAGGAGAGUCGAAGGACGUCGAAGGUGAUGGCGAGGGGUCAAGAUGUUCGUCGGAGCCGAUGGUGGUGCUGCCGUCCGAGGACGCAGACGAGGGGUGCUCCUCCGAUGUCAUCGGCGGCGGCGGCGGCGGCGGCGGCGAGGGUUUACGAAGCUAUGGUUUGAGUUUUUUUUUGUUUUUUUUUUCGUUUGGGCUUGAACGGUAGACAAGGCUGGGCAGCUGCUUGAGCCAAACGGGGAUAGAGCCAAAGAGGUGGUUGAGCUGAGUUCCAGCCUUCCAGGCACGCAAGCAGAAGCAGGUCGCCAGGGCCCAGGGCUAGCAGGGAGCCAGCCAGCCAGGUAUUGCGUCGCCAACAGGCACUAGCCAAAACAGGCACUCCCGACUCUAAGGCUGUCUCCAACAGGCACUAGCCAAAACGGGCAGACAUUCAGGCCGUUGGCUUGCCACAGUAAUUUAGCUGGCCAUCCAUACGUUCGUCGUAUCCAACGGAGCAGCUAAAAUAGCUGGUUCCCAGGGCGAGUGGCCAGAAGCCUCAGAAAUGGGUCCGGAUUGUCAGAGACGAAGGGGGAGAAAAUGGCUGCCGGCUCUGAACCAGCGAAUCUGGCUUUUCUCUCUCAUCCCCUCUAAAAUAGCUGCUCCUUUUGGUUGUGUUGUUGGAACCUGUUUCUAAUCGCUACAGUAGCACCACGGCAGCCAUAUUGGCUUUGGCUGGCCGUUUGGCUGCUCCGUUGGAGUUAGUCUAAUAUAUAGUGAUGAUGGUUGUCCCCUUUGUUCAAGUUUCAAAUUCUAAUGGGUGAUUGCUACUACCUAACUUGAUAGAAUCUUCUUUCUAUAGCAAACCAACAAACUCCUAUUUCACUUGCUGAAAUAUUUUUCUUCUAAUUGAUUGACUGAAUAGGUGUAUAGCUUCCUCUUGUAGAUUAAACCUGGUAUACCUCAUUGUCACUGACUGUGCUGUAUAUAUUCAGACUUGUCUAUUUCAAUGGCAGCAGGUAGCAAAAUAAAAAGGCAGAGUGGCGACAUAGGCAGCAUAACGGAAAAAAGCCCGACAAUAGUCUCUAGCAGGCUAGCAGCAACGUAGGUUGUCGUCGUGGGCCUUCCGUAGUUGGGCCAAUUUUCAUUUUUUUUAGUUUUCAAUUAGGGGGACAGUUGGAGUUGGAGAAAUACGAUCUUUCACUCCUAAAACUUUUAGUGUGCUUCCAAUAAUCAGUUUUUAGGGGUGAUUUAUUAGCAUUCUCUUGGAGUUGCUCUUAGUAUUUUUGUUGCGGGUAUAACUUUAGCAUCUUGGUCUCUAAACAGGGCCUUAGUACUUGUCACAUGUAUAACGGUUUCGAGGAUAUAACGGGAAACUCUGUCGGAGAUCAAAAGAGAUUUAAGCGAAUUAAAUCACUCUCUAGUUAUAAUUGAAUAAAAGGGAAUUAAAUCACCUUCUAUCCAUACACAACCUAACAUCAUUUUAGGAUUUCGAGCGUUUCCCCAUGCGAGCAAUUCACUUGAGAAAUCUCCACCGGAUAUUUUUUUUCGAUCCGUUUGGAAGCUCGCACCACCCAACCCCCAAAAUAGAUUGCCUGACCUAUCGACAUCGGGCAUAUUUCCUUGCCGACCGUACUCCCUUCACGGCAGCCUGACCUAUCGACAAUUUCUCAUUUGACACACAGUUUCUGUGUUAUUUUCUUAAAAAUAUAAAUCUCCUCUGAUACUGGAUGUAGAUUUAGAAAAAUCCUGAGAAUGGUGGACGGCAGCUUGAGAUCUUGGCUCCUACCAAUGAACGGUUCAUGUGGGCGCAGCACGUGAACCGCUCAGAGAUAGAGCGCAAGCAAAUGGAGAUUAGUAUCUCGGAAGUCGGAAACGGUUCGAUUCCAUCGCCCCCAAAUGUGCUGGUAGGAGCCAUUGGCCUGAAAAGGCCUUCGCUUUUGGACUCCGCCUCCGCCCUCCGGUACCUAAACAGAAAAAAACGCUCUGCUUCUCUCGUGCCCACGCGAACAUGACUGAUGCAGACUGACACAGGCUUUCACACAAAAGAAGAAGAUAAAAUCACUCCCUACAAAUACUCGUCAGGAAUUACAGGAGACCAGCACCACCAGUGUGAAGCCUACUUUGACCCAUUACAGUAGUUACAUUACAGUGCCCGCAGUCGAAGCACAGGCGCAACCCCAGCGGAAGCUUAACCAAUUACCAAUCCAUGACGCAAGCCACGAGAAGCAGAGAAAAGAAACAAACAAACUCAUUCACAGAGACACAACCUGUCGGAUGCGGUGGCCCUGAAAAAGGGCACCGGAGGUCAUGGCUAUUCUGCCACGUUCUCCUCUUCCUCUUCGUCCUCGUACUCCUCGUCGGCGGUGGCGUCCUGGUACUGCUGGUACUCGGCGACCAGAUCGUUCAUGUUGCUCUCGGCCUCAGUGAACUCCAUCUCAUCCAUCCCCUCGCCGGUGUACCAGUGCAGGAAGGCCUUGCGCCUGAACAUGGCGGUGAACUGCUCGCUCACCCUGCGGAACAUCUCCUGGAUGGAGGUGGAGUUCCCCACGAAGGUCCCCGCCAUCUUCAGGCCCCUGGGCGGGAUGUCGCACACGCUCGACUUGACGUUGUUGGGGAUCCACUCCACGAAGUAGGACGAGUUCUUGUUCUGGACGUUGAGCAUCUGCUCGUCCACCUCCUUGGUGCUCAUCUUCCCGCGGAACAUGGCCGAGGCCGUCAGGUAGCGGCCGUGGCGGGGGUCGGCCGCGCACAUCAUGUUCUUGGCAUCCCACAUCUGCUGGGUCAGCUCAGGGACCGUGAGGGCACGGUACUGCUGCGACCCACGAGAGGUCAGCGGAGCAAAGCCGACCAUGAAGAAGUGCAGACGAGGGAAUGGGAUGAGGUUCACGGCAAGCUUGCGCAGAUCAGAGUUGAGCUGACCCGGGAACCUCAGACAGCAUGUCACGCCACUCAUGGUAGCAGAGAUAAGAUGGUUCAGGUCACCAACUGCAAUGUUGCAACCCACCAUCAGUGUUCAGUACCAACCUUCUCAAUAGAAAACAAACUGCAGGAUAUCAAAUUUCUAAAGAAUCAGUGAGGAUUAACUUACAGCUCGGGGUGGAGAGCUUUAGUGUGCGGAAGCAUAUGUCAUACAGAGCCUCGUUGUCAAGCACCAUACAUUCAUCAGCAUUCUCAACGAGUUGGUGAACAGAAAGUGUAGCAUUGUAAGGCUCCACAACAGUAUCUGAGACCUUUGGUGAUGGGAAUACAGAGAACGUCAACAUCAUUCUGUCUGGGUACUCCUCCCUGAUCUUGGAAAUAAGAAGGGUGCCCAUGCCAGAUCCAGUGCCUCCUCCCAAGGAAUGGCAAACUUGAAAACCUGUAAGUAAAGUCAGUCAAUUAUCGACAAACACAAACAGUAUUCCUGAAAAAUUGUAACUGGACAACGUGGUUGAAAGAUACAUCAACCCUUGAAGGUCUAGAGAUGUCAGAAUUGUGAGUUUGUGACACAUUCUAUGUUACCAGCGUUUGUUUGUUAAAAAAAUCAUCAACCAUGUAUUCAUGUUACCAUGGUUAAGUGAUAUUUUGAACUCAGUCAAUUUCACAACAUACGCUGUCAUGCUCUGGUGGCCCAUGGACCAAUCUUGACAUGCUACCAAAUACUUCACCUGGGCACACCAUUGUUUAUAUCAUAACACACAAGAUAUAAGAGUUAAAUUUCAAGAGACAAAAAGUUAAGCACUGCUAUAUUCACCAUGUAGAGAUGGAAUCUAUUUUGUUUGGUGUUGGCCAAAGAAUUCUUCAGACCGGCUACGACACAAUAUCUAAUUUGGUUUUUUUAAUAGGAUACAGAUCAUUAGAAGUUGUAGGCUCCCAGAGUGGAACUCCAAGCUAACACACCUAACAAUCAUGUUACUUUAAUCAAAUAUACAUCCUAGCGACAGCCCAGAGAAAAGGUAGGAGUUCAACAAGAAUCAACAAGAUUAUUCAUGAAGAGUUGAAGACAGACAAAUUGAUUAGAAAACAUGUUCCAUUGAAAGCUCCAAUAUAACCACAAAUAGACCAAACACGAUAAUUUUAUUACUAUAUCUAUUAUUUUUCAUGUUCGAAGUGACCUGACGCAUACUGUACGAAUGCUUACCCAUUAACAGAAAUUAUCAAUCAUCAUUCCAUCAUGCUAGGUGGAAAAAAAAUGGCCAAACCCGCAGCGACAAGCAAUACUUUCAAUGCAAGCACUGCCAUAACAAUUAACAAGCUACCUAGAGGCUAAUGCCUAACAAUAACACGGGCCAGUUGCCGUAUUCAAAAAAGCACCUCGCUGAAAUGCCAAUUGGAGGUCAUUUUAACAGCAUUCACGUACCGACAGGCUCAGAUCUGGACUAAAUCUAACGCCCCCCACAGGGUUAACCCUAAUAACCGAAAAAAGGGCUAAGAAAUAAUAAUCACCCUGGAGGCAGUCGCAGUUCUCGGCCUCCUUGCGGACGACGUCGAGGACGGAGUCGAUGAGCUCGGCGCCUUCGGUGUAGUGUCCCUUGGCCCAGUUGUUGCCGGCGCCGGACUGGCCGAAGACGAAGUUGUCGGGGCGGAAGAUCUGGCCGAAGGGGCCGGAGCGCACGGAGUCCAUGGUCCCGGGCUCGAGGUCCAUGAGGACGGCGCGCGGGACGAAGCGGCCGCCGCUGGCCUCGUUGUAGUAGACGUUGACGCGCUCGAGCUGGAGGUCUGAGUCCCCCGCGUAGCGGCCCGUGGCGUCGAUCCCGUGCUCGUCGCAGAUCACCUCCCAGAACUUGGCCCCGAUCUGGUUCCCGCACUGCCCACCCUGGAUGUGGAGGAUCUCCCUCAUGGCUGCCCGCUGGCUGUGUGCUGCUGCCUCGACGGGGCCGGCCGGUCGGGACUCGGGCGUCGGACGCAGGCGGGGGGAAAGAAAGGGAAAAGGACGGGUGGCUGGUGCUGUGCGGGCUUUGCGGGAGUACUAGGACGGAUUUGAAAUGCUGUUGCCGUGGGGCUUCGAUCCAAACCUUCGAGCUGGAGGAGGGGGGCUGUGGACCGACCUUGUGCUGUGGCGGGUGGCGGCACGUGCCCGGUGGCCGGUGGGUGGAGGAGAGGCUAGAGAAACGGCCGGGGCCUGCCGCGGUGUAGGGCCCAGGCGCAGCCGCGGUCUGGUUCGUUGAUCGGACGGGCUUGGGAUAGGCGUGGACCCACGUGGCAGGCUGUCAUAACUGAACGGCGGGCCCAAUAAGACAAGCUUAUCCGAGCUGUGGUGCCAAGGGUGCGGCCGCACCGGGCCCCCAAAAAUAGAGGGCCCCCUAGCCACUGUACGGUAGCAUUUUUUCCUAUUAAACCUAUCUAUUAUAGACACAAAUACGUAAGGAGCGAUGCGUUAUCGAGUAGUCUCGUUUAUAUUCUUUGAAAGGGAAUUAGGCUUACACUUAGUUCCUAUAUACUUUUGGUGGUUGAAUUGCCCAACACAAAUCUUUGGACUAACUUGUUUGCCUAAGUGUAUAGAUGAUAUAGGUGUAAAAGGUUCACACUCAGCCAAUAAAAAGACCAAGCUUUGGAUUCAUCAAAGGAGCAAAGGGGCAACCGAAGGCACCCCUGGUGUGGCGCACCGGACUGUCCGGUGUGCCACCGGACAUGUCCGGUGCACCAGGGGGACUCAGACUUGAACUCGCUACCUUCGGGAAUUUUCAGAGGCGACUCCGUUAUAAUUCACCGGACUGUCCGGUGUACACCGGACAGUGUCCGGUGUACACCGGACAGUGUCCGGUGCGCCAAGGGAGGUCGGCCUCAGGAACUCGCCAGCUUCGGGAAAAGCCAACGGCUCAUCCACUAUAAUUCACCGGACUGUCCGGUGUGCACCGGACUGUCCGGUGCGUCUCCAGAGCAACGGCUAUCUCCGCGCCAACGGCUCUCUGCCGCGCAUUUAAUGCGCACUCUGCGCGCACAGAUGGCAGGCACGCCCAUGCUGGCAUACCGGACAGCAAACAGUACCUGUCCGGUGUGCACCGGACACCCAGGCGGGCCCACAAGUCAGAAGCUCCAACGGUCAGAAUCCAACGGCAGUGAUGACGUGGCAGGGAGCACCGGACUGUCCGGUGUGCACCGGACUGUCCGGUGCGCCAUCGAACAGACAUCCCAGCCAACGGUCAAGUUUGGUGGUUGGGGCUAUAAAUACCCCAACCACCCCACCAUUCAUUGAAUCCAAGUUUUCCACUUCCCAACUACUACAAGAGCUCUAGCAUUCAAUUCUAGACACACCAAAGAGAUCAAAUCCUCUCCAAUUCCACACAAAGCCCUAGCGACUAGUGAGAGUGAUUUGCCGUGUUCAUUUGAGCUCUUGCGCUUGGAUUGCUUCUUUUCUUUCUCACUUGUUCUUGUGAUCAAAACUCCAUUGUAAUCAAGGCAAGAGGCACCAAUUGUGUGGUGGCCCUUGCGGGGAAGUUUUGUUCCCGGCUUUGAUUUGAGAAGAGAAGCUCACUCGGUCCGAGGGACCGUUUGAGAGAGGGAAGGGUUGAAAGAGACCCGGCCUUUGUGGCCUCCUCAACGGGGAGUAGGUUUGAGAGAACCGAACCUCGGUAAAACAAAUCCGUGUGUCACAUUUCAUUAUUUGCUCGCGAUUUGUUUUGCGCCCUCUCUCGCGGACUCGUUUAUAUUUCUAACGCUAACCCGGCUUGUAGUUGUGUUUAUAUUUGUAAAUUUCAGUUUCGCCCUAUUCACCCCCCCCCCCUCUAGGCGACUAUCAAUUGGUAUCAAAGCCCGGUGCUUCAUUAGAGCCUAACCGCUCGAAGUGAUGUCGGGAGAUCACGCCAAGAAGGAGAUGGAGACUGGCGAAAAGCCCACUACAAGCAACGGGAGCACUUCAUCGGAAGAGUCCCGCACCAAACGGAGGGAGAAGAAGAAGAACUCCUCCAACAAAGGGAAGGAGAAGAAAUCUUCUUCUCACCACAAAGAGAAGAAGGAAAAAUCUUCUUCCCACAAGCCGCAUCGGAGUGGGGACAAACAAAAGAGGAUGAGGAAGGUGGUCUACUACGAGACCGACACUUCAUCAACAUCGACCUCCGGCUCCGACACGCCCUCCGUAACUUCUAAACGCCAAGAGCGUAAGAAGUUUAGUAAGAUCCCCCUACACUACCCUCGCAUUUCUAAACAUGCAUCUUUACUUUCCGUCCCAUUAGGCAAACCACCAACUUUCGACGGUGAAGAUUAUGCUAGGUGGAGUGAUUUAAUGCGAUUUCAUCUAACCUCACUCCACAAAAGUAUAUGGGAUGUUGUUGAGUUUGGUGCACAGGUACCAUCGGUAGGGGAUAAGGACUAUGAUGAGGAUGAGGUGGCCCAAAUCGAGCACUUCAACUCUCAAGCAACAACGAUACUCCUCGCCUCUUUAAGUAGAGAGGAGUAUAACAAAGUGCAAGGGUUGAAGAGCGCCAAGGAGGUUUGGGAUGUGCUCAAAACCGCGCACGAGGGAGAUGAGCUCACCAAGAUCACCAAGCGGGAAACGAUCGAGGGGGAGCUCGGUCGGUUCCGGCUUCGCAAAGGGGAGGAGCCACAACACAUGUACAACCGGCUCAAGACUUUGGAGAACCAAGUGCGCAACCUCGGGAGCAAGAAGUGGGACGACCACGAAGUGGUAAAUGUUAUCUUAAGAUCUCUCAUUUUUCUUAAUCCCACUCAAGUUCAAUUGAUUCGUGGUAAUCCUAGAUAUACUAAAAUGACCCCCGAGGAAGUUAUCGGGCAUUUUGUAAGUUUUGAGUGCAUGAUAGAAGGCUCGAGGAAAAUCAACGAGCUUGGCGACCCAUCCGAAGCCCAACCCGUUGCAUUCAAGGCAACGGAGGAGAAGAAGGAGGUGUCUACACCAAGUAGACAACCAAUAGACGCCUCCAAGCUCGACAAUGAGGAAAUGGCGCUCGUCAUCAAGAGCUUCCGCCAAAUCCUCAAGCAAAGGAGGGGGAAAGACUACAAGUCCCGCUCCAAGAAGGUUUGCUACAAAUGUGGUAAGCCCGGUCAUUUUAUUGCUAAAUGUCCCAUAUCUAGCGACAGUGACCGAGGCGACGACAAGAAGGGGAGAAGAAAGGAGAAGAAAAGGUACUACAAGAAGAAGGGCGGCGAUGCCCAUGUUUGUCGGGAAUGGGAUUCCGACGAAAGCUCAAGCGACUCCUCCGACAACGAGGACGCCGCCAACAUCGCCGUCACCAAGGGACUUCUCUUCCCCAACGUCGGCCACAAGUGCCUCAUGGCAAAGGACGGCAAACGGAAGAAGGUUAGAUCUAACUCCUCCACUAAAUAUGAGUCUUCUAGUGAUGACAAUGCUAGUGAUGAGGAGGAUAGUUUGCGUUCCCUUUUUGCCAACCUUAACAUAGCUCAAAAGGAGAAAUUAAAUGAAUUAGUUAGUGCUAUUCAUGAAAAGGAUGACCUUUUGGAUUCCCAAGAGGACCUCCUCAUUAAGGAAAAUAAGAAGCAUGUUAAGGUUAAAAAGUCUUAUGCUCUUGAAAUUGAGAAAUGUGAAAAGUUAUCUAGUGAGCUAAGCACUUGCCGUGAGAUGAUUGACAACCUUAAGAAUGAAAAUGCUAGUUUAAAUGCUAAGGUUGAUUCUCAUGUUUGUAAUGUUUCAAUUCCCAAUCCUAGAGAUAAUAAUGAUGAUUUGCUUGCUAGGAUUGAAGAAUUAAACAUUUCUCUUGCUAGCCUUAAGGUAGAAAAUGAAAGUUUAAUUGCUAAGGCUAAAGAUUUUGAUGUUUGCAAAGUUACAAUUUCCGAUCUUAGAGAUAAAAAUGAUAUUCUUCAUGCUAAGAUUGUUAAACUUAAUUCUUGCAAACUGUCUACAUCUAUUGUUGAACAUGUCACUAUUUGUACUAGAUGUAGAGAUAUUGAUAUCAAUGCUAUACAUGAUCACAUGACUCUAAUUAAACAACAAAAUGAUCAUAUAGCAAAACUAGAUGCUAAAAUUGCCGAGCACAACUUAGAAAAUGAGAAAUUUAAAUUUGCUCGUAGCAUGCUUUAUAAUGGGAGACACCCUGGCAUUAAGGAUGGCAUUGGCUUCCAAAGGGGAGACAAUGUCAAAAUUAGUGCCCCUCCUAAGAGAUUGUCCAACUUUGUUAAGGGCAAGGCUCCCAUGCCUCAGGAUAACGAGGGUUACAUUUUAUACCCUGCCGGUUAUCCCGAGAGCAAAAUUAGGAAAAUUCAUUCUAGGAAGUCUCACUCUGGCCCUAAUCAUGCUUUUAUGUAUAAGGGUGAGACAUCUAGCUCUAGGCAACCAACCCAUGCUAAAUUGCCUAGAAAGAAAACUCCUAAUGCAUCAAAUGAUCAUGCUAUUUCAUUUAAAACUUUUGAUGCAUCCUAUGUUUUGACUAACAAAUCCGGCAAGGUCGUUGCCAAGUUUGUUGGGGGCAAACACAAGGGGUCAAAGACUUGUGUUUGGGUACCCAAAGUUCUUGUGUCUAAUGCCAAAGGACCCAAAACAGUUUGGGUACCUAAAGUCAAGAACUAAACUUGUUUUGUAGGUUUAUGCAUCCGGGGGCUCAAGUUGGAUACUCGACAGCGGAUGCACAAACCACAUGACCGGGGAGAAAAGGAUGUUCUCCUCAUAUGAGAAAAAUCAAGAUCCCCAACGAGCUAUCACAUUCGGGGAUGGAAAUCAAGGUUUGGUCAAAGGAUUGGGUAAAAUUGCUAUAUCACCUGACCAUAUUAUUUCCAAUGUUUUUCUUGUAGAUUCUUUAGAUUACAAUUUGCUUUCCGUAUCCCAAUUAUGUCAAAUGGGCUACAACUGUCUAUUCACUGAUGUAGGUGUCACUGUCUUUAGAAGAAGUGAUGAUUCAAUAGCAUUUAAGGGAGUGUUAGAGGGUCAGCUAUACUUGGUAGAUUUUGAUAGAGCUGAACUCGACACUUGCUUAAUUGCUAAGACUAACUUGGGCUGGCUCUGGCACCGCCGACUAGCCCAUGUUGGGAUGAAGAAUCUUCACAAGCUUCUAAAGGGAGAACACAUUAUAGGAUUAACAAAUGUUCAUUUUGAGAAAGACAGGGUUUGUAGCGCAUGCCAGGCGGGAAAGCAAGUUGGAACCCAUCAUCCACACAAGAACAUCAUGACGACCGACAGGCCACUUGAGCUACUCCACAUGGAUCUAUUCGGCCCGAUUGCUUACAUAAGCAUCGGCGGGAGUAAGUAUUGUCUUGUUAUUGUGGAUGAUUAUUCUCGCUUCACUUGGGUAUUCUUUUUACAGGAAAAAUCUCAAACCCAAGAGACCUUAAAGGGAUUCUUGAGACGGGCUCAAAAUGAGUUCGGCUUAAGGAUCAAGAAAAUAAGAAGCGACAACGGGACGGAGUUCAAGAACUCUCAAAUUGAAGGCUUUCUUGAGGAGGAGGGCAUCAAGCAUGAGUUCUCUUCUCCCUACACACCUCAACAAAAUGGUGUUGUGGAGAGGAAGAAUAGAACUCUUUUAGACAUGGCAAGGACCAUGCUUGAUGAAUAUAAGACUUCGGAUCGGUUUUGGGCCGAGGCAGUCAACACCGCCUGCUACGCCAUCAACCGAUUAUAUCUACACCGAAUCCUCAAGAAGACAUCAUAUGAACUCCUAAUCGGUAAAAAGCCCAACAUCUCAUAUUUUAGAGUCUUUGGUAGCAAAUGCUUUAUUCUUGUUAAAAGAGGUAGAAAAUCUAAAUUUGCUCCUAAGACUGUAGAAGGCUUUUUACUUGGUUAUGACUCAAACACAAGGGCAUAUAGGGUCUUUAACAAGUCCACUGGACUAGUUGAAGUCUCAUGUGACGUUGUGUUUGAUGAAACUAACGGCUCUCAAGUAGAGCAAGUUGAUCUUGAUGAGAUAGGUGAUGAAGAGGCUCCAUGCAUAGCGCUAAGGAACAUGUCCAUUGGGGAUGUGUGUCCUAAGGAAUCCGAAGAGUCUCCAAAUACACAAGAUCAACCAUCCUCCUCCACGCUAGCAACUCCACCAACUCAAAAUGAGAAUGAAGCUCAAGUUGAUGAAGUAGAAGAUCAAGCAAAUGAGCCACCUCAAGAUGACGGCAAUGAUCAAGGGGGAGAUGCAAAUGAUCAAGACAAGGAGGAUGAAGAGCAAAGGCCGCCACAUCCAAGAGUCCACCAAGCAAUACAACGAGAUCACCCCGUCGACACCAUCCUCGGCGACAUUCAUAAGGGGGUAACUACUCGAUCUCGUGUUGCCCAUUUUUGUGAACAUUACUCGUUUGUUUCCUCUAUUGAGCCACACAGGGUAGAGGAAGCACUCCAAGAUUCGGAUUGGGUGGUGGCGAUGCAAGAGGAGCUCAACAACUUCACUAGGAAUGAGGUAUGGCAUUUAGUUCCACGUCCGAACCAAAAUGUUGUAGGAACCAAAUGGGUCUUCCGCAACAAGCAAGAUGAGCAUGGUGUGGUGACAAGGAACAAAGCUCGACUUGUGGCCAAGGGAUACUCCCAAGUCGAAGGUUUGGAUUUCGGUGAAACCUAUGCACCCGUAGCUAGGCUUGAGUCAAUUCGCAUAUUAUUGGCCUAUGCUACUUACCAUGGCUUUAAGCUUUAUCAAAUGGACGUGAAAAGUGCCUUCCUCAAUGGACCAAUCAAGGAAGAGGUCUAUGUUGAGCAACCUCCCGGCUUUGAAGACAGUGAGUAUCCUAACCAUAUCUAUAAGCUCUCUAAGGCGCUUUAUGGGCUCAAGCAAGCCCCAAGAGCAUGGUAUGAAUGCCUUAGAGAUUUCCUUAUUGCUAAUGGCUUCAAAGUUGGAAAGGCCGAUCCUACACUCUUUACUAAAACUCUUGAAAAUGACUUGUUUGUAUGCCAAAUUUAUGUUGAUGAUAUUAUAUUUGGGUCUACUAACGAGUCUACAUGUGAAGAGUUUAGUAGGAUCAUGACACAGAAAUUCGAGAUGUCUAUGAUGGGGGAGUUGAAGUAUUUCUUAGGAUUCCAAGUAAAGCAACUCCAAGAGGGCACCUUCAUCAGCCAAACAAAGUACACUCAAGGCAUUCUAAACAAGUUUGGGAUGAAGGAUGCCAAACCCAUCAAGACACCCAUGGGAACUAAUGGGCAUCUCGACCUCGACACGGGAGGUAAGUCCGUAGAUCAAAAGGUAUACCGGUCGAUGAUAAGUUCUUUACUCUAUUUAUGUGCAUCUCGACCGGAUAUUAUGCUUUCCGUAUGCAUGUGUGCAAGAUUCCAAGCCGACCCUAAGGAAGCUCACCUUACGGCCGUAAAACGAAUCUUGAGAUAUUUGGCUUAUACUCCUAAGUUUGGGCUUUGGUACCCUCGGGGAUCCACAUUUGAUUUGAUUGGUUAUUCAGAUGCCGAUUGGGCGGGGUGCAAAAUCAAUAGGAAGAGCACAUCGGGGACUUGCCAGUUCUUGGGAAGAUCCUUGGUGUCUUGGGCUUCAAAGAAGCAAAAUUCGGUCGCUCUUUCAACCGCCGAAGCCGAGUACAUUGCCGCAGGUCAUUGUUGCGCGCAAUUGCUUUGGAUGAGGCAAACCCUGCGGGACUAUGGUUACAAAUUAACCAAAGUCCCUUUGCUAUGUGAUAAUGAGAGUGCAAUCAAAAUGGCCGACAAUCCCGUCGAGCAUAGCCGCACUAAGCACAUAGCCAUUCGGUAUCAUUUUCUUAGGGAUCACCAACAAAAGGGAGAUAUCGAAAUUUCAUACAUAAAUACUAAAGAUCAAUUAGCCGAUAUCUUUACCAAGCCUCUUGAUGAACAAUCUUUUAACAAACUUAGGCAUGAGCUCAAUAUUCUUGAUUCGCGCAAUUUCUUUUGUUAGAUUGCACACAUAGCUCAUUUAUAUAUCUUUGAUCGUAUCCCCUUCCUAUGCUAUGACUAAUGUGUUUUCAAGUCUAUUUCAAACCAAGUCUUAGGUAUAUUGAAAGGGAAUUGGAGUCUUCGGCGAAGACAAAAAGGCUUCCACUCCGUAACUCAACCUUCGCCGUCACUACAUACCACUCUCCAUCCUUAGGGGAGAAAGCAAAAGGACUUCGUCUUUGGUAUAAUCUUAACUCAUUUGUUUAUGACCAAAGGGGAAGAAACUACUUCGCGGGCUCUAAUGAUUCCGUUUUUGGCGAUUCAUGCCAAAAAGGGGGAGAAAGGAGCCCAAAGCAAAAGGACCGCACCACCACCAAUUUCAAAAACUCAGUGUUGAAUAUUUAUCAAUUGAUUUUCCUUUUGUGUUCAAAAAAGGGGAGAAAGUAGUAUUUCAAAAUGAUAUAUCAAAACCCUCUUGAACACUAAGAGGAGGAUCUCCUUUAGGGGGAGUUUUGUUUAGUCAAAAGAAAAGCAUUUGAAACAGGGGGAGAAAAUUUCAAAUCUUGAAAAUGCUUUGCAAAAAUCUUAUUCAUUUACCUUUGACUAUUUGCAAAAGAACUUUGAAAAUGAUUUACAAAAGAGUUUGCAAAAACAAAACAUGUGGUGCAAGCGUGGUCCAAAAUGUUAUAAAUAAGAAACAAUCCAUGCAUAUCCUGUAAGUAAUAAUAUUGGCUAAAUUCCAAGCAACCUUUACACUUACAUCAUGCAAACUAGUUCAAUUAUGCACUUCUAUAUUUGCUUUGGUUUGUGUUGGCAUCACUCACCAAAAAGGGGGAGAUUGAAAGGGAAUUAGGCUUACACUUAGUUCCUAUAUACUUUUGGUGGUUGAAUUGCCCAACACAAAUCUUUGGACUAACUUGUUUGCCCAAGUGUAUAGAUGAUAUAGGUGUAAAAGGUUCACACUCAGCCAAUAAAAAGACCAAGCUUUGGAUUCAUCAAAGGAGCAAAGGGGCAACCGAAGGCACCCCUGGUGUGGCGCACCGGACUGUCCGGUGUGCCACCGGACAUGUCCGGUGCACCAGGGGGACUCAGACUUGAACUCGCUACCUUCGGGAAUUUUCAGAGGCGACUCCGCUAUAAUUCACCGGACUGUCCGGUGUACACCGGACAGUGUCCGGUGCGCCAAGGGAGGUCGGCCUCAGGAACUCGCCAGCUUCGGGAAAAGCCAACGGCUCAUCCACUAUAAUUCACCGGACUGUCCGGUGUGCACCGGACUGUCCGGUGCGUCUCCAGAGCAACGGCUAUCUCCGCGCCAACGGCUCUCUGCCGCGCAUUUAAUGCGCACUCUGCGCGCACAGAUGGCAGGCACGCCCAUGCUGGCACACCGGACAGCAAACAGUACCUGUCCGGUGUGCACCGGACACCCAGGCGGGCCCACAAGUCAGAAGCUCCAACGGUCAGAAUCCAACGGCAGUGAUGACGUGGCAGGGGGCACCGGACUGUCCGGUGUGCACCGGACUGUCCGGUGCGCCAUCGAACAGACAUCCCAGCCAACGGUCAAGUUUGGUGGUUGGGGCUAUAAAUACCCCAACCACCCCACCAUUCAUUGAAUCCAAGUUUUCCACUUCCCAACUACUACAAGAGCUCUAGCAUUCAAUUCUAGACACACCAAAGAGAUCAAAUCCUCUCCAAUUCCACACAAAGCCCUAGCGACUAGUGAGAGUGAUUUGCCGUGUUCAUUUGAGCUCUUGCGCUUGGAUUGCUUCUUUUCUUUCUCACUUGUUCUUGUGAUCAAAACUCCAUUGUAAUCAAGGCAAGAGGCACCAAUUGUGUGGUGGCCCUUGCGGGGAAGUUUUGUUCCCGGCUUUGAUUUGAGAAGAGAAGCUCACUCGGUCCGAGGGACCGUUUGAGAGAGGGAAGGGUUGAAAGAGACCCGGCCUUUGUGGCCUCCUCAACGGGGAGUAGGUUUGAGAGAACCGAACCUCGGUAAAACAAAUCCGUGUGUCACAUUUCAUUAUUUGCUCGCGAUUUGUUUUGCGCCCUCUCUCGCGGACUCGUUUAUAUUUCUAACGCUAACCCGGCUUGUAGUUGUGUUUAUAUUUGUAAAUUUCAGUUUCGCCCUAUUCACCCCCCCUCUAGGCGACUAUCAUUCUUAAACUGUCUCAAUUACUUAUUGAAUACUCCAUCCGUUUUAAAAUAGUAUUUAUUUUAGUUCUUGAUUUUUAUGUUUAUAUUGAUGAUGAUGAAUCAACUAAAUAAGCAAAACAAAUUCUAUUUUAAUAUAGGGAGAGUAUUAUAAACUAUACAUAUGAUGGUUGCUUUGGCAGAGAGAAGCUUUUAAAAUUGAAAUAUUUUUGUGAACUAUUUUUUUAUCAACAAUAACUCAAGAGAUGUUAAAUGGCUUGGUGAUUCUAUAUAUCGAAAAAGUUAUUGGAUGAGAUUAAUUUUAAUGAUAUAAGAGAUGACUUUGUAUCACAAAAUGUUAAAAGAUAUUUUUAAUAAUAUCAGAUAACAAGUGUUUUUUUGCUAUAUUUUACAUUUGUUAUCUUGUAAACUUCAAAAUAGUGCAUAAUAAAUUUUAUAUGUCAAAUAUUUGAUAAUAUAUGUAUAAUUAUUUAUAUAUAUAUAUAUAUAUAUAUAUAUAUAUUUGUGUAUGGAUGGGCCUCGAUAUCGAAUUUCGUAUUGGGCCUCUGAAAAGUCAGGAACGGCCCUGGUUGUUCCCUGCUCGUCUUCAGGCUUCAGCAGCAAUGAUUAGAUGGUUGAUUAUUAGACAGCGGAUAGCAGACGCUUGGCAGGCAAAUGCAGCGCUUGGACAGCAGAUGUAGCUGUUGCUUGGAUUAAGGGAAUGACAAGGACCGAUUACCAGCAUGUUGCUGGGCGGCGGCGAGAGAGGCACACUGGCACCAACUCAUCAUGGCUGUGGACGAACUAGCUCAAAGUACAAGCUAAACACACGUACUAAAACUUCAUCGUGGCGAGAGAACCAAUUUUAUUGACUGCUUUGAUGCGAAUAUAGCAAGCAGCGGUCGGUCAACAUCCUGCUCAGCUCAGUGCUCACGUGGCUAAACCGCUAGCAUGGAGACGUGGUUAUUACUAAGAUGAUCUACGUUGGUUAUUGCUUGGUAAAGACAAUAAUGCGAUGGGAAAAAUAAAAAAACAGAAAUUAUUCUAACACAGUCAAUAAAAAAGAAAAUUUUCGAACACAGGGCGUACAACAUUACGGUAGGCUGAACAUGGCAGAGCAAAGUACAUCAAUCACUAGAUUCAACGAUUCAAGUUUUACUACUUUAAGGCUAAUUUGGAAACUCCAAUUUUCUAAAAAAUUAAUUUAGAACUAGUUUAGAAACUCCAUUCUUACAAAGAAUUUACUAUUUUCUUAAUAGAAAAUAAGCUAAUCCCUUUAGAAAAUGGGUUCCCAAACUACCCUUUUAACGUAAAGGAAGGUUGGGCAGAAGUUUCGAUGACAAGCUGUGAGCUUAUACAUCAAUUCUGAUGCCAAAAGUUUAAUAUUAUUGUUAUUACGCUACGUAGAUGGUACACUUGUUGUACCAACUCGACAAGCUGCUGAGCUUUUACCUGGUAGGAUAGUGAGCAAUCGUCCCUCCCAUAUCAUGCAGCUAACCACUCUUGUACUUCCAUUAUCUAAAAAAACCACUCUUGUACUUCCUUAUUUGGUUAUGGAACUAGAAUGCCUUCUUCUCGUAUGAAACCAACCCAUGAAUUCCUCCUUCAACCUGGGCAGCACCGGUUCUCACCUAGCAAGGAGGACCAACAAAGAUCAAAUAAGUCAGUGUGUGCUUUCUGGAACAGAUGCUCAGCUUCUGGCUAGUAAUAUAUGUUCUCAAAAAAUAAAGAUGUUUUUUGGUAGGGGAGCUAAAUUAGGCAGCACGCUUUCUCAAUCUAAACAACAAUGAGCAAGCAGGAAGAUAGGUGAGGAGCAUUCACUAAUUCCACCAGCAAUAUCAGAAACCCCUUAUCCAAAUCCAACCUAAUCGCCAGUCAAAAAAAUCCAACCUAAUAUCCAAAUUGCUACAAUAUUUUUGACCAUUCUAAGAUUCAUAUGGAUUAAUAAAGACUAUUAAAUAAUCUACUGAACUUUGGAGCUGGUUCCAAAAACAAACCUACUUGUAAGUAGCAAUAAAUGUUAACUUAAAUUGUAUAAACAAUAUUUCUGCAAAUGAGGAAGAUGAACUUCUCCAGUCUUAAACAGUUGAUAUGUUGGAAGAUAACUUGUGUGCAUCCUGAAAAUACCUCUAAUCUGAGUGUCUCUGAUCUCACUUCUCCAGUCUUAAACAGUUGAUAUGUUGGAAGAUAACUUGUGUGCAUCCUGAAAAUACCUCUAAUCUGAGUGUCUCUGAUCUCAAAAGAUCAUGAGCUGACCGCAGAGAAUCUGCGCCAAUCCUUGCCCAACUGCUUGCAUAGUGUAAGGAAUGAACCUCAGUACGGAGCCUUUGUCAGCUACUGCACCAACGACGCCAUGUGCGACUUUGAGCUUGAAAGUAUCACCAAGGUACUUUACAUCACUCCCUUUUGUCAUGGCUUCGAGAGAGCCCAUGUCUCUGUAUUUUUUAACUCGUCGGCCGUCCUAAAAGUAGCAUGUCAAGAGUUAUAACUAGGACUAGAUAUCGAGCCAACUCGGUUCGGCUCGUCCAAAUUCAAGCUGACUCGUUAAGCUAACGAUCUGGCUCGGUUCGUUAAGCUAACGAGAGUCAGCUCGGUUUGACUCGUUUAUAAGCUCGAGCUGGCUCAUUUAACUCGCGAGCCAAGAAAAAACAAUAUGUAUAUAAUAACCAUUUCUAGUUAAUUCUAAACAUUUUAACAAUAAAAAAUAGUAAUUAUACUCAUAGUUUCGCAGUCCACAUCAAAGUAACACCAAAUUAACACAAUUCAUCACUCAUCAAUUCACAAUUCACACACAUGUUCAUUAAUUUAACCGACAAUUAUAUUCUCAUAGACCAAUUUAACACAUAGACACAGUUCAUUAAUCAUUAGUUUAAUAAGCCAUAGACACCACACAUACAUAUAACAUGUUCAUCAAUUGUUACGUAAAUGAUAUGCAUAUAGUUUCAUUUUGAUGAAAUUUGACAGCUCGUUUAGCACGGGAGCUGGCUCGUUAUCGAACCGAGCUGGGUUGUCAGCUCAGCUCGUGAAAAAAUCAAGCGAGCCGACGAGCCACGAGUAUUUCGUCAAUCCCUAGUUAUAACCAAAACAUUUUCAUGAAAGAAUGCAAGUUUCACAUCAAACAAAGAACGACACAAAAAAAUAUAAAUGCAAACUGCUUUAAGUUCUGGAGUUAUCCUAAAUCAAACUGCUUUAAGUUCAACUAGACCUAAUCAAAUGAUGGGUCGUGCCAGGAGAAAAAUGAUUAGGUUACAAUUUUUUGCCAGAUAUCGACCUGACGCACUCGCGGGUCAGGUCAGAUCGAGUGGCCCAUGAACAGGUCUAAGUUCAACCAACUUUAUGUAAUUUGGAAGAGUAUCUAUGACACCAAAUAAGCACACUUUGAUAUGAAAAUAUAUUUUAUGAUGUAUUUAAUGAUAUAAAUUUGGUGUCAUAAAUAUCAAUCUUCUUCUGAUUAAAUAAAUAUGGUCGAUAAACCUAAGUUUUAAUAAGGACAAAUCUGAUAUUCUGGAAGCAAGGCUACCCAUGAACAAUGCAAAUAUAGAGAAGUACAUCCAAGUGCCAUUCAGUCAUCAUAUAAACAAUUCUUUAUUGCACGCUCUUGACAACUUUUAUACUAUCUGAUUAUACUGUUGUUCAUACAUAAAAGUCCAUGUGCAUGACAUGUGAUCUUCAAUAUGAAUCGAGUCUCAUGCUCUAUACGGCUGUAGGGAGUAGGGAGUAGGGACUUUGGCAGUCAUCACCUAAGUUUGGACCAAAAGAAAUUCCAACGUUCUGUAUAUGGUAUACAUUGUACUCAUCUCAGAACAGCAAAAAUAUCAAUAUCAAUAUAUAUCAUACCUUGUAUUCAUAAGUACCAGGAGCUUCAUAACUGCCAGCUAAAAAGCUGCCCAUCAUAACAGUGGAUGCCCCCAGCGACAAAGCUUUCACGAUAUGUCCAGAGUUUGAAAUUCCACCAUCAGCAAUAACUGGUACAUUGUGAUCAUUGGCAUAAGAUGAAACCUUAUACACUGAUGUUGCCUGUUCAAAGCCCAAUAUUAGACCAAGUACCCAUCAGUGUCUUCUAAGCAUAUGAAACAAGGACUACAUAUCCCCUUGCCUAUCUGAGAAAGGCAAAGUCAGAAGAUGCUCUGAUGUCAUCAAAUCAGAGUUGAAUACUUGCACUGAAUGUGGCAAGGAUGUUUACAAUGUCUAGCAAAACAAAGGACAAAAUUUGUUUCCACCAUGGUCACGGCCAUCUAAGAUAACUUCAGACCAUAAAACAACUCGGGGAGGAAAAAAAGGGUGUUCGCUGAUCCUAUGCUACCUAAUGUAGGAUUCAGGGCACCCAACAAAUUUGACAGCAAGCUAAAUGAAGUAAGGCAGUAAGCUGAUGGUCAUGCAUUAGAAUACUGAAAAAAGAAGGGUUCAUGAAGAUUUUAGCAUUUACCUGUCCUCUUCCAACAGCACAAACCUCUUGGGUGGUACAAAUUGAGCCAGAACCCAUUCCAACACGCAAUCCAUCUGCACCAGCUUGAAUCAAAUUCUGGGCCUGCGCAAUUGUCACUGCAUUACCCCCAAUAAAAUCCACCUCCGGAUACAUCUUCUUGGCAAACUUUAUCAUAUCAAGCUGGUAGAUGGAGUUCCCCUGUGAACUAUCAAUCACGAUAGCAUUUGCCCCCGCCUUAACUAGCCGCUCUAGCCUUCCCUUGCCAUCCUCACGGGUCCCGAUGGAGGCCGCAACUACAAACUUCCCGUCCACUCCAAGCGAUGGCUUGCCUAACUUGGGAUAGCUCCUGAUGCGCUCCACAUCCUUGACGGUGAUGAGAUCGACAACCUCACCAUCGUCGGACACGAGAGGGGCGUAAUCCAGACCCUCAUCGCCAAGGAAGUGUUAGAAAUAUAGGCAUUUUCCGUACCAUUUUAAUUCCAUAAAUUAACAUUAUGAUGAUGACAUAUAAUAGAUAAUCAAACAUAGAUAACAUGAUCUCAAAAUUAUCCAUAAUAAUAUAGAUCAUGAGAACACAAAACAUAUGAAUCAUAUAAAUAUAAUAAGCAAAUAAACAUGGAACAUGUAUUAUUAUGGAACAACUGAAAAUAAACAGAUAGCAACAUAAACAGCAUGACUGUAAAAUUAAGACAAACAGAUUUAUCAUAUUACUAGUAUGAUCAGGCAUCAGACACGUCAUGAUAUAAUACGACAAAACAGAUUUGAUAAAUUUAUGGCUAUAAAUAAAACAGCAGGUAUGAACAUAUAUAAUUUGCAGAAUGAAAAACAGUAAGGAGAUGAAUUGAUCAUACCCUGCCAUGCGCUCCGAGGACCUAGAUCCUUGUCCAACUUCACUUGUCAUGUCAGCAGGAAGAAGACUUUGGGCAGUCGCGUAGACGCUCCCCAAAAACCUAAUUGCCGAUCCCUCGUGCAGAGUCACGAGAUGGAAAUACCCUUACUCGGCUGCUGGACUGUGUUCUGAAAGUGUUUUCUCACGUGUACCGAGUGACAGGGGUGCUCCUCUAUUUAACCUCUCGCAGAGGGAAGCUGAAGGAGAAAGGUCGCCGAGUCACGCCAAGAGUCGGCCAGCUCUAGCCGAGUUAUGCCAUGAGUCGGCCAGCUCUUGCCGAGUCACGCCAUAAGUCGGCAGCUGAAGGAGAAGGGUCACUCGGCUGGCAGACGAAGAGACAGAGUCACUCGGCUAACGUACUGUCCGCCCGCUCGCCCGCCCGCCCGCUCGCCCGCUCGCCUGCCUGCCACGGCCGGCGGCGGCGCGCGCGCGCGUGUGGCACGCCCUUGUCUAUUUCUUGACUUCUCAAGUUAAGUGGAAUAAAUCCCACCAUAUAAGUCAAGGCAAAAGACCCUUGGACUUCCAAUGUGGUACUAUUGGUAUUCUCCACCAUUACAUACCAUAGAGUUUAUUUAAUAAAUGGGCCAAGCCCAUAAAAGAUCCAACAGGAAGGCGGCUGCUUCUUCGAAGUCGAAGGAGGCAGAGGCUGAGCGCGGUGUCUGUCGCAUUCGCAUGUACUCCGAGACAGCGACAGGAACGUCACGGGAGACAGCAUCAGCUGCGACAGCGACACCGACGAGCCUGGAGAGCGAAUCUCCGCGCUCGGUGACGAGGGCGUAAUCGCUGCCAGCGAACCCGUUGAGCGUCGGCGCGGAGGACGGGGAGAAGAAGGGCACGGAGGAUACGAAGGGGAGGCGGCGGGACUUGGCGGCGCGGACGAUGGCGGCCUGGGCGUGGGGCUCAGUGUUGCGGUGCACGACGGCGGCGGCGCCGAGGGAGGCCAUGGCCGCGGCCAUGGCGGCCUCAGAGACGGUGUCCAUCGGGGAUGCGACGCAGGGGGCAGGGGGUGGAGAGCGGCACGCGGCGGGAGAGGCGGGUGGAGAGGUCGACGGCAUCGGCGGGAAAGCCGAUGUAGCCCGGAAGGAAGAUGACGUCGUCGUAGGUGUAGGAGACGCCCAGCGAGAAGAGGCGCGGCCCCGCGAAGCCGACGGCGGCGAGGUCGGCGCUGCUCGCCGCCAUUGGUGGACUGGGGUUUUAGGGUUUUCGGCUGCUGCUGCUUCUGCGGCAGAGGUGGCGGGGCAGAGACGGGAAUGAAGGAAGGCGGGAAGCAAAUGGGGUAAGCGACUUGGCGGGUAGCAACGCGCAUGAUGAGUCAAUGAGAGGUGGGUCCGCUUGUCCCGCCAGCGAUUGAGCCAAAUCGUGAGCUGGGCCGGAAGCUCGGACGACAAAGGCAAAGAGCCCACCACUUCUACGAAUGUGGUUCCCAUCAGUAGGGAAAAAAUGCCCGCGAAUGUUCCACGGGCCACCGGCAUAUGAAUGGGUGAUGUAUAAUGCGAGGGAAUCAUAUGCCCUGCCGUUUGUCUCCGGACUCCAGCCACCACCAUUUCGGUCAGAUGUCAAAAGUAGGAACAAUCUUGUUUCUCUUUGUAUUUGUAUAUGUUAUAUCUUAUGUAGAGACGUAUAUUUUGGCCCAAACUUGAGCUUGAUUACUAAGGGUAUGUUUGUUUCUCUCCUAAAUUAUAUAAGUUGGAUUAUGGUUGAAGGACGGAUAGUAAAACAUCACUUAGUAAUUAUAAAUAAGCUACUCAAUGCUAAUUUAUUUCAGCUUAUUUAUACUCCUAAAAUAAUAUUUUACGCACUUACUCUUUCACCGUAAUCCAACUUAUGUAAUUUAAAAGGGGGACAAACAUAACCUAAAAGAGAUUGAUGGGUUAUUUCUCGUGGAUGAGAUUUUACAUCCCUUCUAAUCAUUUUUGGCACAUAUCUUCUCUAUCUGCACUAUAUAAAAUAUAAGUGUGCUCCUCCACAUUUAAAUGGUAGAAAAGAUAGAAUUAUACACAAACCAUGGUUAUCGGCUUCGAACAUAAUUUACCCCACCUAACCAAGAGAAUACACAUGUCUGUGUUCUACUCCACUUAUAAAUUGAAAUCAUAGCAACAUAUAGACACUUUACUAUCAAGCUUUUAAACUUAGUGCUCUCUUACAAUUUUCCCCACCAUAUGUUUGAAUCAGAUUAAGUUUGUUGUUAGUCAAACACCCCCAGUUUUACCAAUUAUGUAAUGCACUAAGAAUUUAGUACUAUCGAAUUCAGUUACAUAGGAAAUAUGAUUGAUAGUGUGUUUUGAACUCAUAAAUCUUUGGUUCUCCUAACUAAAGUUUAGUCCGUGUCGUAUUGAAUGUUUGAUGAUCAUGGGAGCGGAGCCCAUAGUAUGAUCAUGGGGGAAACGCCCCUUAUAUAUCUUGACCCAUUUGAACUUGUAUUUAUAGAUAUUUUGGUCGUUUUUAUUUAUUUUUGUUUGCUUUUGACAAAUGUAAACAUAAAAUGAGACGACAUGAUUGUUUUUCGACUAUUUUUAGUCACAUAUCCCACUUUAUCCGCAUAUACUAUCUUGAUUUAAAUAAUACAAUGAAUAAUUCAUAGGCAAUUACGUCACAUCGCAUCAAACUAAUUUGUAAUUGAUUAUUUUUCGAUAGAGAUAUGUAUAUUAUUGAAAGGGAAUUAGGCUUACACCUAGUUCCUAAAUAAUUUUGGUGGUUGAAUUGCCCAACACAAAUCUUUGGACUAACUAGUUUGCUCUAGUGUAUAAGUUAUACAGGUGUCAAAGGUUCACACUUAGCCAAUAAAAAGACCAAGUGUUGGGUUCAACAAAAAUGCAAAGGAGCAACCGAAGGCUCCUCUGGUCUGGCGCACCGGACUGUCCGGUGCGCCACCGGACAUGUCCGGUGCACCAGAGGACUCAGGUUUCAAACUCGUCACCUUCGGGAAUUUCCAGAGGCCACUCCGCUAUAAUUCACCGGACUGUCCGGUGUGCACCGGACAUGUCCGGUGCUCCAAGGAAGGGCGGCCCCAGGAACUCGCCAGCCUCGGGUUUUCAUUCCAGCCGCUCCGCUAUAAUUCACCGGACUGUCCGGUGUGCACCGGACUGUCCGGUGCAUCUGCGGAGCAACGGCUACUUCAGGCGCCAACGGCUACCUGCAGCGCAUUUAUUGCGCGCCAGCGCGCGCAGAGGUCAGGGACGCCCAUGCUGGCGCACCGGACACUCUACAGUACAUGUCCGGUGCGCCACCGGACAUCAAGGCGGGCCCAGAAGUCAGAACUCCAACGGUCGAUUUCCAACGGCACUGGUGACGUGGCGGGGGCACCGGACAUGUCCGGUGUGCACCGGACUGUCCGGUGCGCCAUCGAACAGACAGCCCAGCCAACGGUCAAGUUUGGUGGUUGGGGCUAUAAAUACCCCAACCACCCCACCAUUCAUUGUAUCCAAGUUCUCUACUUCCCAACUACUACAAGAGCUCUAGCAUUCAAUUCUAGACACACCAAAGAGAUCAAAUUCUCUCCAUAUUCCACACAACGCUCUAGUGACUAGAGAGAGAGAUUUGCUUGUGUUCUUUCGAGCUCUUGCGCUUGGAUUGCUUCCUUCUUUCUUGAUUCUUUCUUGUGAUCAAACACUCACUUGUAAAUUGAGGCAAGAGGCACCAAUUGUGUGGUGGCCCUUGCGGGAAGGUUGAUUCCCAAGUGAUUUGAGAAGAGAAGCUCACUCGGUCCGAGGGACCGAUUGAGAGAGGGAAGGGUUGAAAGAGACCCGGCCUUUGUGGCCUCCUCAACGGGGAGUAGGUUUGCAAGAACCGAACCUCGGUAAAACAAAUCUGCGUGUCACACUCUUCAUUUGCUUGUGAUUUGUUUUGCUCCCUCUCUCGCGGACUCGUUUAUAUUUCUAACGCUAACCCGGCUUGUAGUUGUGAUUAUUUUUGAGAAUUUCAGUUUCGCCCUAUUCACCCCCCCUCUAGGCGACUUUCAAUUGGUAUCGGAGCCCGGUGCUUCAUUAGAGCUUAACCGCUCGAAGUGAUGUCGGGAGAUCACGCCAAGAAGGAGAUGGAGACCGGCGAAAAGCCCACUACAAGCCACGGGAGCACUUCAUCGGAAGAGUCCCGCACCAAGAGGAAGGAGAAGAAGAAGAGCUCCUCCAACAAAGGGAAGGAGAAGAAAUCUUCUUCGCACCACAAAGAGAAGAAGGAGAGAUCUUCCUCCCACAAGCCACAUCGGAGAGGGGACAAGCACAAAAGGAUGAGGAAAGUGGUCUACUACGAGACCGACACUUCAUCAACAUCGACCUCUGACUCCGAUGCGCCCUCCGUAACUUCUAAACGCCAAGAGCGUAAGAAGUUUAGUAAGAUCCCCCUACAUUACCCUCGCAUUUCUAAAAAUGCACCUUUACUUUCCGUCCCGUUAGGCAAACCACCAACUUUUGAUGGUGAAGAUUAUGCUAGGUGGAGUGAUUUAAUGCGAUUUCAUCUAACCUCACUCCACAAAAGUAUAUGGGAUGUUGUUGAGUUUGGUGCACAGGUACCGUCCAUAGGGGAUAAAGACUAUGAUGAGGAUGAGGUGGCCCAAAUCGAGCACUUCAACUCUCAAAGAUCACAAAGAUGAGCUCACAAAGAUCACCAAGCGGGAAACGAUCGAGGGGGAGCUCGGUCGGUUCCGGCUUCGCAAAGGGGAAGAGCCACAACACAUGUACAACCGGCUCAAGACCUUGGUGAACCAAGUGCGAAACCUCGGGAGCACGAAGUGGGACGACCACGAAAUGGUUAAGGUUAUUCUAAGAUCUCUCAUUUUCCUUAACCCCACUCAAGUUCAAUUAAUUCGUGGUAAUCCUAUAUAUACUAAAAUGACCCCCGAGGAAGUUAUCGGGAAUUUUGUAAGUUUUGAGUGCAUGAUCGAAGGCUCGAGGAAGAUCAACGAGCUUGAUGAUCCAUCCACAUCCGAAGCUCAACCUGUCGCAUUCAAGGCGACGGAGGAAAAGAAGGAGGAAGCUACACCAAGUCGACAACCUAUAGACGCCUCCAAGCUCGACAAUGAGGAAAUGGCGCUCGUCAUCAAGAGCUUCCGCCAAAUCCUCAAGCAAAGGAGAGGGAAAGACUACAAGUCCCGCUCCAAGAAGGUUUGCUACAAGUGUGGUAAGCCCGGUCACUUUAUUGCUAAAUGUCCAUUAUCAAGUGAUAGUGACAGGGGCGACGACAAGAAGGGGAGAAGAAAGGAGAAGAAGAGGUACUACAAGAAAAAGGGCGGCGAUGCCCAUGUUUGUCGGGAGUGGGACUCCGACGAAAGCUCUAGCGACUCCUCCGACGACGAGGACGCCGCCAACAUCGCCGUCACCAAGGGACUCCUCUUCCCCAACGUCGGCCACAAAUGCCUCAUGGCAAAGGACGGCAAAAGGAAGAAGGUAAAAUCAAGAUCCUCCACUAAAUAUGAAACAUCUAGUGAUGAUAAUGCUAGUGAUGAGGAAGAUAAUUUACGUAUUCUUUUUGCCAACCUUAACAUUGAACAAAAAGAAAAAUUAAAUGAAUUGAUUAGUGCUAUUCAUGAAAAGGAUGACCUUUUGGAUUCUCAAGAGGAUCUCCUAAUUAAGGAAAACAAGAAACAUGUUAAGGUUAAAAAUGCUUAUGCUCUUGAAAUUGAGAAAUAUGAAAAAUUAUCUAGUGAGCUAAGCACUUGUCAUGAGACAAUAGACAACCUUAGAAAUGAAAAUGCAAAUUUGUUGGCUAAGGUUGAUUCUCAUGUUUGUAAUGUUUCAAUUCCCAAUCCUAGAGAUAUUAAUGAUGAUUUGCUUGCUAGGAUUGAAGAAUUAAACAUUUCUCUUGCUAGCCUUAGGAAUGAAAAUGAGAAAUUAAUUACUAAGGCAAAAGAUUUUGAUGUUUGCAAAGUUACAAUUUCCGAUCUUAGAGAUAAGAAUGAUAUUCUACAUGCUAAGAUUGUUGAACUUAAUUCUUGCAAACCCUCUACAUCUACCAUUGAGCAUGUCACUAUUUGUACUAGAUGUAGAGAUAUUGAUGUUGAUGCUAUCCAUGAUCACAUGAUUUUAAUUAAGCAACAAAAUGAUCAUAUAGCUAAACUAGAUGCUAAAAUUGCCGAGCAUAACUUGGAAAAUGAAAAGUUUAAAUUUGCUAGAAGUAUGCUCUAUAAUGGGAGACGCCCGGGCAUCAAGGAUGGCAUUGACUUCCAAAGGGGAGACAAUGACAAACUUAAUGCCCCUCCUAAGAACUUGUCUAACUUUGUUAAAGGCAAGGCUCCCAUGCCUCAGGAUAACGAGGGCUACAUUUUAUACCCUGCCGGCUAUCCUGAGAGCAAAAUUAGGAAAAUUCAUUCUAGGAAAUCUCACUCUGGCCCUAAUCAUGCUUUUAUGUAUAAGGGUGAGACAUCUAGCUCUAGGCAACCAACCCGUGCUAAGUUGCCUAGAAAGAAAACUCCUAAUGCAUCAAAUGAUCAUGACAUUUCAUUUAAAACUUUUGAUGCUUCUUAUGUGCUUACUAACAAAUCCGGCAAGGUAGUUGCCAAGUUUGUUGGGGGCAAACACAAGGGUUCCAAGACUUGUGUUUGGGUACCCAAAGUUCUUGUGUCUAAUGCCAAAGGACCCAAAACCGUUUGGGUACCUAAAGUCAAGAACUAAAAUUGUUUUGUAGGUUUAUGCAUCCGGGGGCUCAAGUUGGAUACUCGAUAGCGGGUGCACAAACCACAUGACUGGGGAGAAGAAGAUGUUCUCCUCAUAUGAGAAAACCAAGAUCCCCAACGAGCUAUCACAUUCGGGGAUGGAAAUCAAGGUUUCGUCAAAGGAUUGGGUAAAAUUGCUAUAUCACCUGACCAUACUAUUUCCAAUGUUUUUCUUGUAGAUUCUUUAGAUUACAAUUUGCUUUCCGUUUCACAAUUAUGUCAAAUGGGCUACAACUGUCUAUUUACUGAUGUAGGUGUCACUGUCUUUAGAAGAAGUGAUGAUUCAAUAGCAUUUAAGGGUGUGUUGGAGGGUCAGCUAUACUUGGUAGAUUUUGAUAGAGCUGAACUCGACACAUGCUUAAUUGCUAAGACUAACAUGGGUUGGCUCUGGCACCGCCGACUAGCCCAUGUUGGGAUGAAGAAUCUUCAUAAGCUUCUAAAGGGGGAACACAUUUUAGGAUUAACCAAUGUUCAUUUUGAGAAAGACAGGAUUUGUAGCGCAUGCCAAGCCGGGAAGCUAGUUGGUACCCAUCAUCCACACAAAAACAUCAUGACGACCGACAGGCCACUGGAGCUCCUACACAUGGACCUAUUCGGCCCGAUUGCUUACAUAAGCAUCGGCGGGAGUAAGUACUGUCUAGUUAUUGUGGAUGAUUAUUCUCGCUUCACUUGGGUAUUCUUUUUGCAGGACAAAUCUCAUACCCAAGAUACCUUAAAGGGAUUCUUGAGACGGGCUCAAAAUGAGUUCGGCUUAAGGAUCAAGAAAAUUAGAAGCGACAAUGGGACGGAGUUCAAGAACUCACAAAUAGAAGGUUUCCUUGAGGAGGAGGGCAUCAAGCAUGAGUUCUCUUCUCCCUACACGCCACAACAAAAUGGUGUAGUGGAGAGGAAGAAUCGAACUCUUUUGGACAUGGCUAGAACCAUGCUUGAUGAGUACAAGACACCGGAUCAGUUUUGGGCCGAGGCGGUCAACACCGCUUGCUAUGCCAUCAACCGGUUAUAUUUACACCGAAUCCUCAAGAAGACAUCCUAUGAACUCCUAACCGGUAAAAAGCCCAACAUUUCCUAUUUUAGAGUUUUUGGUAGCAAAUGCUUUAUUCUUGUUAAAAGAGGUAGAAAAUCUAAAUUUGCUCCUAAAACUGUAGAAGGCUUUUUACUAGGAUAUGGCUCAAACACAAGGGCAUAUAGAGUCUUUAACAAGUCUUCAGGACUUGUUGAAGUUUCUUGUGACGUUGUGUUUGAUGAAACUAACGGCUCUCAAGUAGAGCAAGUUGAUCUUGAUGAGAUAGGUGAAGAACAGGCUCCGUGCAUCGCGCUAAGGAACAUGUCCAUUAUGGAUGUGUGCCCUAAGGAAUUCGAAGAGCCUCCAAAUACACAAGAUCAACCAUCCUCCUCCACGCAAGCAGCUCCACCAACCCAUGAUGAGGAUGAGGCUCAAGUUGAUGAAGGAGAGGAUCAAAAGGAUGAGCCACCUCAAGAUGACGGCAACGAUCAAGGGGGGAUGCAAAUGAUGAAGACAAGGAGGCCGAACAACCAAGACCGCCACACCCAAGAGUCCACCAAGCAAUCCAACGAGAUCACCCCGUCGACACCAUUCUCGGCGACAUUCAUAAGGGGGUAACCACUCGAUCUCGUGUUGCACAUUUUUGUGAGCAUUACUCUUUUGUUUCCUCUAUUGAGCCACAAAGGGUAGAGGAAGCACUCCAAGAUGCGGAUUGGGUGAUGGCGAUGCAAGAGGAGCUCAACAAUUUCACAAGGAACGAGGUAUGGCGCUUAGUUCCACGUCCUAACCAAAAUGUUGUAGGAACCAAAUGGGUCUUCCGCAACAAGCAAGAUGAGCAUGGUGUGGUGACAAGGAACAAAGCUCGACUUGUGGCCAAAGGAUACUCCCAAGUCGAAGGUUUGGGUUUCGGUGAAACCUAUGCACCCGUAGCUAGGCUUGAAUCAAUUCGCAUAUUAUUAGCCUAUGCUACUUACCAUGGCUUCAAGCUUUAUCAAAUGGACGUGAAGAGUGCCUUCCUCAACGGACCAAUCAAGGAAGAGGUCUAUGUUGAGCAACCUCCCGGCUUUGAAGACAGUGAGUAUCCUAACCAUGUCUAUAAGCUCUCUAAGGCGCUUUACGGGCUAAAGCAAGCCCCAAGAGCAUGGUAUGAAUGCCUUAGAGAUUUCCUUAUUGCAAAUGGCUUCAAAGUCGGCAAGGCCGAUCCUACUCUAUUCACUAAAACUCUUGACAAUGAUUUGUUUGUAUGCCAAAUUUAUGUUGAUGAUAUUAUAUUUGGGUCUACUAACGAAUCUACAUGUGAGGAAUUUAGUAGGAUCAUGACACAAAAAAUCGAGAUGUCUAUGAUGGGGGAGUUGAAGUAUUUUCUAGGAUUUCAAGUCAAGCAACUCCAAGAGGGCACCUUCAUUUGUCAAACAAAGUACACUCAAGACAUUCUAACCAAGUUUGGAAUGAAGGAUGCCAAGCCCAUCAAGACUCCCAUGGGAACAAAUGGGCAUCUCGACCUCGACACGGGAGGUAAGUCCGUGGAUCAAAAGGUAUACCGGUCGAUGAUUGGUUCAUUGCUUUAUUUAUGUGCAUCUCGACCGGACAUUAUGCUUUCCGUAUGCAUGUGUGCAAGAUUCCAAGCCGACCCUAAGGAAUCACACCUUUCGGCUGUAAAACGAAUCUUGAGAUAUUUGGCUUAUACUCCUAAGUUUGGGCUUUGGUACCCUCGGGGAUCCACAUUUGAUUUGAUUGGUUAUUCGGAUGCCGACUGGGCGGGGUGUAAGAUUAACAGGAAGAGCACAUCAGGGACUUGCCAGUUCUUGGGGAGAUCCUUGGUGUCUUGGGCUUCAAAGAAGCAAAAUUCGGUCGCUCUUUCAACCGCCGAAGCCGAGUACAUUGCCGCAGGUCAUUGUUGCGCGCAAUUACUUUGGAUGAGGCAAACCCUGCGGGACUACGGUUACAAAUUAACCAAAGUUCCUUUGCUAUGUGAUAAUGAGAGUGCAAUCAAAAUGGUCGACAAUCCCGUCGAGCAUAGCCGCACUAAGCACAUAGCCAUUCAGUAUCAUUUUCUUAGGGAUCACCAACAAAAGGGAGAUAUCGAGAUUGCUUACAUUAAUACUAAAGAUCAAUUAGCCGAUAUCUUUACCAAGCCACUUGAUGAACAAACUUUUACCAAACUUAGGCAUGAGCUCAAUAUUCUUGAUUCCCGCAACUUCUUUUGUUAGAUUGCACACAUAGCUCAUUUAUAUACUUUUGAUCAUAUCUCUUUUAUAUGCUAUGACUAAUGUGUUUCCAAGUCUAUUUCAAAUCAAGUCAUAGGUAUAUUGAAAGGGAAUUGGAGUUUUCGGCGAAGACAAAGGCUUCCACUCCGCAACCCAUCCGUCGCUGUCGCUCCAAGCCACUCUCCAUCUUUGGGGGAGAGAACAAAAGGACUUCAUCUUUGGUAUAAUCUUAACUCAUUUGUUUAUGACCAAAGAGGAAGACAUUACUUCGAGGGCUCUAAUAAUUCCGUUUUUGGCGAUUCAUGCCAAAGGGGGAGAGAGUAUGGGCCCAAAGCAAAAGGACCGCACCACCACCAAUUUCAAAAACUUAGUGUUUUCCAAGAGUAUUUAUCAAUUGGUAUCCUAUUGUGUUCAAAAGAGGGAGAAAGUAGUAUUUCAAAAAUGAUAUAUCAAAACCCUCUUGAACACUAAGAGGAGGAUCUCCUUUAGGGGGGAGUUUUGUUUAGUCAAAGGAAAAGCAUUUGAAACAGGGAGAGAAAAUUUCAAAUCUUGAAAAUGCUUUGCAAAAUCCUAUUCAUUUACCUUUGACCAUUUGCAAAAGAACUUUGAAAAGGAUUUACAAAAGAGUUUGCAAAAACAAAACAUGUGGUGCAAGCGUGGUCCAAAAUGUUAAAUAAGAAAGAAACAAUCCAUGCAUAUCUUGUAAGUAGUUAUAUUGGCUCAAUUCCAAGCAACCUUUACACUUACAUUAUGCAAACUAGUUCAAUUAUGCACUUCUAUAUUUGCUUUGGUUUGUGUUGGCAUCAAUCACCAAAAAGGGGGAGAUUGAAAGGGAAUUAGGCUUACACCUAGUUCCUAAAUAAUUUUGGUGGUUGAAUUGCCCAACACAAAUCUUUGGACUAACUAGUUUGCUCUAGUGUAUAAGUUAUACAGGUGUCAAAGGUUCACACUUAGCCAAUAAAAAGACCAAGUGUUGGGUUCAACAAAAAUGCAAAGGAGCAACCGAAGGCUCCUCUGGUCUGGCGCACCGGACUGUCCGGUGCGCCACCGGACAUGUCCGGUGCACCAGAGGACUCAGGUUUCAAACUCGUUACCUUCGGGAAUUUCCAGAGGCCACUCCGCUAUAAUUCACCGGACUGUCCGGUGUGCACCGGACAUGUCCGGUGCUCCAAGGAAGGGCGGCCCCAGGAACUCGCCAGCCUCGGAUUUUCAUUCCAGCCGCUCCGCUAUAAUUCACCGGACUGUCCGGUGUGCACCGGACUGUCCGGUGCAUCUGCGGAGCAACGGCUACUUCAGGCGCCAACGGCUACCUGCAGCGCAUUUAUUGCGCGCCAGCGCGCGCAGAGGUCAGGGACGCCCAUGCUGGCGCACCGGACACUCUACAGUACAUGUCCGGUGCGCCACCGGACAUCAAGGCGGGCCCAGAAGUCAGAACUCCAACGGUCGAUUUCCAACGGCACUGGUGACGUGGCGGGGGCACCGGACAUGUCCGGUGUGCACCGGACUGUCCGGUGCGCCAUCGAACAGACAGCCCAGCCAACGGUCAAGUUUGGUGGUUGGGGCUAUAAAUACCCCAACCACCCCACCAUUCAUUGUAUCCAAGUUCUCUACUUCCCAACUACUACAAGAGCUCUAGCAUUCAAUUCUAGACACACCAAAGAGAUCAAAUCAUCUCCAUAUUCCACACAACGCCCUAGUGACUAGAGAGAGAGAUUUGCUUGUGUUCUUUCGAGCUCUUGCGCUUGGAUUGCUUCCUUCUUUCUUGAUUCUUUCUUGUGAUCAAACACUCACUUGUAAAUUGAGACAAGAGGCACCAAUUGUGUGGUGGCCCUUGCGGGAAGGUUGAUUCCCAAGUGAUUUGAGAAGAGAAGCUCACUCGGUCCGAGGGACCGAUUGAGAGAGGGAAGGGUUGAAAGAGACCCGGCCUUUGUGGCCUCCUCAACGGGGAGUAGGUUUGCAAGAACCGAACCUCGGUAAAACAAAUCCGCGUGUCACACUCUUCAUUUGCUUGUGAUUUGUUUUGCUCCCUCUCUCGCGGACUCGUUUAUAUUUCUAACGCUAACCCGGCUUGUAGUUGUGAUUAUUUUUGAGAAUUUCAGUUUCGCCCUAUUCACCCCCCUCUAGGCGACUUUCAAUUAUAAUAUAUAAUUUUUAUAUAUCUAAAUGAGAUGUUUCAAUUGUUCGACUACUUUAUUGGUAUACUCACGGCUAGUGCUGGGAAUUGGGCCGGGUCGGGCCACCUGGCCCAAGUUCAUCGUGCUUCGUGUCAAACGGGUUCGGGCCAGAAAAGCCCAAGCAAAUUUUGGACCGUGUCGUGCCAGACCGAAGUGUAAAAACAGUGGCCCGGCCCUAAACCACGUCGUGUCUUCGUUGGGCCAUGCCGACCCAAGCCCGACCCGUAUAUUUGACCACAUAAAAUUAAAAUAUUAUAACUAUAUAAAGUUCAUAGCUUACUAAAUUAAAGAUAUUAAACAAUUCUAGCAUCAUUUAACCACAUAAACUACAAAUAUAACAACAAUAUAAAGUCGAUAUCUUACUAAAUUAAAGAAAUUAAACAGACUGUGCUUAAUUGGGCCGUGCCGGCCCAAGCCCGGCCCAUCUAUGCGGGCCGUGCCGGGGGGCCGACGGGUCGGAAUUUAAGGCCCGGCCCAGGCCCGCCUUCGGACCGUGCUAGCCUGGCCCAUAUUAUUUCGUGCCGGUCCGUGCUUUGGGUUCUUAUUUUCGGGCGUGCUCAUGCUGGCCCAAAAAGCCCAGCCCAGAUUCCGAGCCCUACUCACGACGAUGUCCGUUUUUUUACAUUCGAUUCUGAUUUGUUUCGUUCGUUUUGAUUUGUUUUCGUUAUCCUGCUAGUUUUGUUUCCAAUCCUAUUUUCGAUGAUCAUGUUUCUGAUCCCGUUUUCGGAAUAAAAUGUUUAAAUAAAAACAGAAUAGGAGUUAUCCCGACUGAUCAUAUUCGUGACACAAUCCCUUUGUAAGAACAGGAGUUAUCCCGACCGAUUAUAUUCGUGAUAGAAGCGCUCUGUAUCUUUCUCUCCCAGUGCUAUCCAUUCUCGACAAGCAACGAGUUCACGAGAUGACCAUUUCGUCCACGCGUGAAAUGCUGCCUGACUAUACGAAUUCAAACUUGUAUUGUAUAUAUCCUAAUAUCUCGGUCCAAUUUACUUCCUCUCAAAUUAAAAGAACCCUAGCUCAUCACGGCACCGCUGGAGGACCCACCAGCCCAGUCAGAUCCAGCGGCCCGGACGCAUCUGGGCCGUCCAUUGCACCGCCGCCAGCCCCAUUUCCCCGCCCGCGGCCCAGGGUCGCCGUCCACUAGCCUCACAAGUCACAACCCCGCCCGGUCCCAGCCGUCGACAUCCCGACCCCACACGCCAUGCAUCCCCACAUGUCACCCUCUCCCUCGAGGCUUCGACCCACAAGCCGUGUACGCCACACACGGCCACACGUGACACGCCACACCCACACCACACGAAGCGGCGCAUCCCCGUAUAUGAACGCGCACCUCUCCAUAGAAUUUCGCCCCACCACACCAAAACCCGCAUCCAUAAACAAGAAAAAGAAAAGAAAACCCCCGCUGCCAGCGACAGAAGAAGAAGGGGUCCCUUCUCCUUGGUUGCGUUGCGCCUCCCUCCUGUCUGCGUGCGUGCAAUCGACGCAGAGGCGCGGGCGCUCGCACCACCACGACCACGACCCGAUGGCUUUCAUGCGCUCCCGCGUGAGUACUGAGUACCCCGCUCCUUCCUCUCGUCGAUCCGCUCACGCUCUUUGGCUGUUCGCGGGGCGCUGUGGUGUAGAUCCGUGUGGCGUGUGGGAACUGGGUCGGUUCCGCGCGAUCCGGGGGCGCUAGUUCGUGGACGGCUGCCCCGCGUUAGAUCUCCUUGGGAGCGUUUGAUCUGACCCUACCGAAGGUGGUGUUCAUUUGUUCUCACUAAAAUUAUGUGUGCAGGCGUGCAGCUGUAGCUUCGUCGCCUGUAUGGACAUGUUUAUUUGUGAAAUCAAGUGGAUAUGUAAGUCGCUAGUAGAUAUUCAGGAUAUGAGUUUGAGAAUCCGUGCUGGAAAAUGGCUCUAGCUGUGAAAUUGAGGGAUGGGGGUGAAAUUGGAGUUGAACUGUAGAAGCGGAAGUGGGUACGCAGUCGAGACUCAGAUACUUUUUUUUUGUUUAUUACGAUUGGGUUUGUUAUUAGCUCAGCGUUUAGUUCGUCCCUGGGUGAAAUACUAUCAGUUUUGAUAGUUUUCUGGUUUAUCAUGUGCUGUAAUCGCGAAAGGGCCUCUAGCCUUAUAGCUAAGGCUUCCGAGUAGCAUCUCUAGGUACUAGGUUCGAUCCCUCUCCUGGCCGAAUUUCUGGGCUUGGUUAAAAAAAUUCCCUCGCUGUACGUCCUGCCCACUACUUUCCGGUUGGGCCGUUGGCGUUGACGGCCCGCUAGUGAUGGGGGCCAGGGUUCGGGGAUUUUAUCGGCCGGGACCAUGUUUCGGUCUCUUCUUAAUAUAAUACUGGGAGGACGGUCUUUCCCUCUCCGGACGAUUUUUUUAUCAUGUGCUGUAAUCGACACAGUGUAUCAAUAUGUAGCUACUUUAUAAAAAAUAUUGAAAAAUGUAUUAUGCUUGCUUGCAUAGGCUUCUUCAUCCUCUGAUGGAUGAUCACUAAGUUGAGAUAUCUGGAGUAUGCUUCUUGCACUGGAGACUUUCUUGGUUAUCCUAGCUGCCUUUUAGUUUUAGGUAAAUGCGGGCAUGGUGAAGCAUGGUUCUGAUACAGUUGGCCAUCUAGAUUGGAUGCAAUUGAUUGAGUUCAAAUUAGCAUGGAUUAAUGAGCUUUUAGCUCCUAGGUCUAAUCCUGUCUAUUAUCGUGCAAUCACUGAACUGUUCACUUGUCCAAGUGUUUUUUCAUGUUAUGAAGCAUAGUUCCAAUUUCCAAUCCUGGAUAGGGAAUAUCUGGAGGGAGUUUUUUUUUUGUAUAUCUGCCUAAUUUUGGUUAAGCAAGCUUGCUAAAAUAGUGUAACCCUGGAUAGGCGGAUAAUUUUUUUGUAUAGUUGCCUGUAUGUCGAAGGUUGUAACUUUUAUGGAACAGUGGCUACAUAACUACAGUUGAUACAUUGGAUGAUCGGAAUGUUGUUAAUCUGCUAGUUACUACUUAACCUUUGAAAUCAUACAAUUAUCUUGCAUUUCAGUCUGUCUAGGUUUCUUUUAACGUAUCCAUAAUUCUCUGCAGUCAAAUGCAUCUUCUGGCAUGGGAGUUGCUCCUAACAUUAGGGAGACAUUCGUCGAGCUUCAAAUGAAGAAGGCAUUCCGAUAUGUUAUCUUCAAAAUCGAAGAGAAGCAAAAGCAGGUGGUUGUGGAGAAGACAGGGGCUACUACUGAAAGCUAUGAUGACUUUUUGGCCUCUCUCCCAGAGAAUGACUGCCGAUAUGCGCUGUAUGAUUUUGAUUUUGUUACUGGGGAGAAUGUGCAGAAAAGCAAGAUUUUCUUCAUUGCCUGGUGAGAUUCAAAAUCAUUUAUGCAUGCAUCUCUAUUUUGUUUCAUUCAUGUUUAGUCGCAUUAAGCUGUAGUGCUAAUGCCACCGAAAGUAAACUAGAUCUAGCUAAAGAGGUAAACUGUUGACGAGUUGUCAUUUUAGAAGUCUAUGUAUUUGCAAAGAAAAAUACUUGGAUACUUAAAAUGCACCAAACGCAGUAAACUUAACAUGCUAAUCAUUUAGGUGCUCCCAUAUUUUUUUAAAGUGUUAUUAACUCAGCGUUGAACUACAAAGUUGGGUUGGUUGAUUCUACUUUAUACUGUUUGGCGAAAGGGCCUCUAGCUGAGUUGGUUAGGUGGUCUGAGUAGCACUCCUCAGGUCCUGGGUUUGACUCCCCGUGGGAGCGAAUUUUAGGUUGUGGUUAAAAAAAUCCACUCGUCUGUCCCACGCUAAAGCACAGGUCUAAGGCUCAGCUCCGGCCGUGGUCGUUCUCACAUGGGCUUCGAUGCCGCUGUGUAUGAGUGGGGCAGGGGUUCGGGGGUUUUCUCGACCUUUGUGAGAAGGUCUUCUUCUUAAUACAAUGUUCGGGGGCUGUCUUACCCCCGCAGGUCGAGUUUUUUACUUUAUACUGUUUGGUGGUAACCCAUACUAGUUAGUAGCCCUGAACAAAAGGAAUAACAAUGCAUGUGAUGCAACAGUUAAGAAUAUUGUUGGCAAUAAUGAGGUUGAUUUUUUGGACUGUACUACAUGUAUCCUUGUGAUGUCUCGUACCCUUUCACGUUCAACGCAUCCACUCUGUCCUUCCUGUUAGUUUCACUUCACCGAACCUUUUACCUAAUCCGCUAUUAUUCCAGGUCCCCAUCGACAUCCCGCAUACGUGCUAAGAUGCUGUACUCCACGUCGAAGGACCGCAUCAAGUACGAGCUUGACGGGUUCCACUACGAAAUCCAGGCGACCGACCCAUCGGAGGUGGACAUCGAGGUUCUCCGGGAGCGGGCUCACUGAAGCUGGUUCUCCUUUUGAAGGGACCUGUGGAGGGCCGUGAACCUUCAGCCAGAUGCAAAUUCAAUUAUCAACGAUGAAGCUCCCGCCGUGGUGUUUGUUAAUAAGUUCCUGUAAGCAUAUCAUUUAGUCGCUAUGCAUGACACUAGCUGAAGCGCUAUCUAAGCUCUAUUGGUAUGAGGUUUGGUUGCCGUGUUGCCGAGCCUGUAAACGAAGCAAGAUUUGCAAACUUGUUAUAUUGUGGUAUUGAUGAUACUGGAUUACUGGCUGUGGGUUGUUCGGGAAUGUCUCUGCCUCUCUGGUCUGGUGUCUGGACGUGGUUGUGGCUUGCUCGGGAUCGCCCUGGUUGGUCUGGUGUCUGCUGGGUCUGGCCCCCGGACGGUCGGAUUGUCUGCAUCUGUUAGAUGUACUUGUUCUAAUCAAAGCAUGUUCCAAGUUCCUGACCGUAAAUUACCCGUUGCCGUUCAAUGCUUUUGUGUGGAUGGAGACUGGGGGAAGUUUUUUUUAAUCCGUUGUUGUGUUGGCAAGCUUGUUAGGUUCUCACAUCAUCGCUGCUGUUUGUGCAAAUGGUUGCGGUCCGGGACAGUGCAAUCAAACAUCCACCACCGUGUGCCGCCGCCCGAGUCAUUCCAUUUAACGGCAAAGCAAAACAAAAAUCAGAUGGGCAAAAACGGCGUGCAUGACAAAUAUAUCUCCAGCUCCAGCAUUACACUAAUCGUCCAAAGCACUACGUACCAGGAUCUGGCAGCACACUAGCAUUCACACACACCACUAUAUAUUUCGUUAAUUAAUUACACCGAUCAGCGAUGGUGACUAGCAGGAUGAUACACAGAAUUUCUGAAGACCCUAACCUCACACUCCCACUCUCUCUGACAGUUAUUACAACAGCUUAAGGAAAACGAGGCAUGGAACCGUCACCUUCUUCCUCCUCCGUGUUCUGCUUCUUCUGAUGAGCUGAACAACUCCAUGGAAGCGUCUGACGUCGCAGGGGAUCCGGAGCACGCCCUUCUGGUCAUGCCCAAACUCCGCCGCCGCGAGCUCCAGCAGCCCAGCGAAGUAGGGGUGCUGAAGAACCUUCCUGUGAACUAGAACCCUCCUCAGCUCCUCCUCCUCCUUCCCUGCCUCGCCGACGAGCACCGGGACGUGCCCUCGCUGCACCGACGCGCUCUUCCCCAUCCUCCUCUCUGACCCGUGCUCGAUCGACACUCGCUUUGCUAGACGCGCUGUAGUUAAUUCUGGGCCCUCCUGUUUAUAUAUAAUGAGUCCUUGCUGUGAUGGCUGACGACUACCAGAGAUCCAGAUGUUCUCAGUGGAUACGAUCUCGUUUGUUUAUUAUGCAUUUGUUUAUUGCUCUGCCUUGUUUGAUUGGUUCCCUCUCGAGCGACCGGUGUCGGUUUCCUUCGUGACAGUGGGAACUGCCAACGGGUGCGAGGACUAGCAAUUACUGGUGGUGCAACGCUGAAAAAGAAACGAAACGCAGAAUAUUUACCUGGAGGCAAAUUUCUUCCCCCAAGGGUCAAUUUUACGCGAGCGUUUUAUCAUUACCGUACUUACGGGAAUAAAGUACUAUCCAACCAUGAAAUUCCUUAGCACAUACUAAGGUUUUACAUAGACUAACCUCUCAGUUCAGAGAAGUUCUAUAAGUGGAACUCUUACGCUUGAUGACCAGACUAACAUGCAUGGACUCUCCAAAGAUUCAUGACCUUUUUUUUUAAAGUUUUGGUAAGAUGUUUUGUUUGGUGUUGUGCGGAAAACCGUGUUCUUCAAGUUCAUUAACCACAAGCCACCUGCUUCCUUGGUUCACAUGUUUCGAAAACAAAGGCUAGUUAAGUACUACCUCCGUCCACAUGACUUAGUCAUUUUGGAAUUAUACUAAGUUAAACUAUUUAAAUUUUGACCAACAAUAUAUAAGAUUAAAUUACCUUAAACUAAAAAAAAAUACAUAUUAUGGUAGUUUAAGUUAUGAUAAAUCUAGUAAGUUUAUUUUUAUGUUGUAAAAUUUUAUGAAACAUUCGGAUAUAACUGGUGAUUAAUUUACGACAAACCUAAAAC
rnacentral:lncRNA from 1 species